rnacentral:lncRNA from 1 species
UGACCGUCCAUCCAUAACGAAUACUAUUGAAAUCCUUGGUUCCAAGGCCCCACUGCCCAGUUUACCACGCGAGAUGCCGGUUCCAAUAUACAUUGCAGCUCUGCAAGACAACAUCUUUACAUCUUCAGCAUCCACUUCAUCUUAUACCAGUGCCUCCAACAGAAGCCAAACUCAAAGUUCAGGCACUGGGUCAAGUAUCCAUUCCUUUAAGGAUAAAACAAUGGCUCCAGGUUAUGACACGGAAGCCAAGCAUUGAAUUCUUGGCAGUUGGUAGUUCGAACCUUCUUUUGUUGUAUAUUUGGCUUCUUGUUUUCGAGUUUUGAUGCUUUGGUGAAAAUUUUGUUCUCACCUUAAUAUUAGUAGGUCAUAUCAUGUCUAUCUAUCUAUCUAUAUAUAUAUAUAUAUAUAUAUAUAUGAUAUUUAUGCUCAUGAUUGAGUUGAUACAUCAAUUUAAUUAGAUAAAAGACAAAUUAAAUAUAUUCAUAAAAAAAUUAUAUAUUAAUAAGGUUAUAAAAAUAAAUUAAUUUAAAAGGAAAAAAAACCACCAACAAAUAUUCUAUAUGAAUAUUUAUUUUUAUUUUAUAGGGUGCGAUAUAAAAGAAUUAUCACUAAGGUAGUGAGUGUGUGAAGAAAUCUAGUAUUAAACUAUAUGGAUUGAUACAUGAAUAUAAUAAUUAAAAUUUUAACCCCUGCAAAAUUUCAAACAUAACCAACCCAAUGCCAGUAUUUCAACCAAAGCAUUUAUAUACUUAAAUCUUGCUUGACAUACUGACAUAACAACUUAAUUAAUAAAAAUCCUAUUAUCAUUUCUAAUUAACACAUAAAACUAAUCAAGCCAUUUCAAUUUGAUACCAAUGCCAUAAAGGACUUCUACCAUUUUACUAACAUAAUCAUCAAAACACAUAAUAUCUUACUUUACAACAAAACUAUAUAGCAUACCAAAAUAACUAUUAUAAUUCUUAUGUACAUGCCACUUUCUCUUAAAAGAAGAAAACAUACCAAAAUAUUUAUGUCGGAGUUGGGAUUGUCCUGGAUACUGAACCGAGACUCUGACCCUUUUCAACCUGCGCACGGAAACAACCGUACGCUGAGUAUUUUAUACUCAGUGGUAUUACCAUAAUUCAAAUUAUAAUAGCAAUAAAGAAUUAUAAUUACCAAGCAUGUAACUAUACAAUUUCUUAAAUAUCAAUUAAUUUAUAAACUUUCAUUAACUAACAAUAACAAUACAAUUUUUAGCUAUUCUUCAAUUUCAAUCAUAUAUCACAUGUAAUAAUUUCAAUCGCUACAUAAACAUUAAAUUCAUGUCUUUCAUUUUCAAUCUCAAAUUUCAAUCCACAAUUUUAAAUUUUCUUAUUUCAAUUAUUCACAAUCGAUCAAAUUCAUUUAAAUUUCUCAUUUUAAUUAUUCACCCUAUUAACAAUCUGGACUUUGACGGAUACACGGAUUCCAACCCAAACACACCAGUACGACACAUUGUGCCUAAAACGGUACAUAGUACCUGAUCAGUAUACGACACAUAAGUGCCUGAAACGACCACGAGGUGCCUGAUACGACACACGAGGUGCCUGAUAUACGACACAUAAAGUGCCUGAGAUACGACACAUAAAGUGCCUGAUCGGCAAGGCCGAUAAAUCCCGUACUCAUCCAAAUCCUAUGGCAUGCCAACUAUAUCCGACCUAGCCUGACUAGUUAAUAGGGUAUAUAAAUUUCACAAUCUAAUUUUCACUUUUAUUUCAAGAAUUCAUUUUCAAUAUCAAUUAUACUUUUUUUUUCCAUUCACUAAUUAAAACACAGUUCAAUACCAACACAUACUUCUCUCAUUCAAUUUAACUUUUUUUUUUCAAAUUCAAUUCAAUAAAGUCACUUACCUUAUUAUAUGCUUACCAUACACAUAAUUUAAAUUUAACAUCAAAUAAUAAAUAAUUUGAAUUAUAGUAAUACAAACCCGAAUUUUGCUCGAUUAUUCCUCAAUAACCUUCUCCUUUCCUUUGUGUGCCGAUGCCUCGAGUUCUUUGUUAGCUACGAAAAUAAUAAUAAUUUAUACCAUCGAUUACAACAUUAAUUUAUAAUAAUAAUAAUAAUAAUAGAAUUUCUAUCUAAUUUAUACUUUAAUUCCAAUUUAAUCCUAACUAAAUUUAUUUACUUUUCUAAUUUAAUUUACACUCUAUUUCUAUUCAAAUUUCUUCAAAACUCAAAUUUAACUACCAAAUUUUCAGCAUAUUUCAUUAAUUUCAAAUUUUCCUCAAUUUAAUUCCUACAAACAUAAAACUUAUGACUUACUUCACAAUUUAAUCCUUUUAUCAACUCUAACUAGAAAUUCUAUCAAAUAAAACCUCAAUUUCAUCAUUUAUUCAACAUAAACCCUACUCAAAAAUCUAUUAACUUUCAAAUUUUCAACUUAAAUCCAAGAGUAUUUCACUCUAGGGUUCUAAAAAACAUCAAAUUUAUGAGAAAAGGACUUGAUUUAGCUUACCUAUUAAACUUCAAGCUUCAAAAUCUCAAUUUUCCCCCUUUCUUUUCUUUCCCUUUUUCUUCCCCUGUUUUCGUCUCUUUCUCUGUUUCUUUUCUGUUCUUCCUUUGUUUCUUUUUUCUUUUUGUCUUACUUACCGACUCUAUUUCUUUUAUGCAUUAGUUAAUAAUAAUAAUAAUAAUAAUAAUAAUAAUAUAUUAUAAUAAUCAUAUAAUAAUAUUUUAUUCACAAAUAUCUUUUACUUAAACUAUAAGAAAAUAUUUUAUUUUAUUACAAGUUAUUUUUAUAUAUAUUACACAUGUAUUAUUUAUCAUCACACAUUUGUCUUUAUCUUUUUUGUUUCCUAUAAUAUAUUAUUUUAAUUUUAAUUAAUAUAAUUUAUAAUAUUUUAAUUUAAUAAUAUUUUUAUAAUAUAAAUCAAGAAAAAAUCUAAGAUUUUUCCAUGUAUUGCCGCCUAAUCUUAAGCCAUUGGCUUAUUUACCUAUUUAGUCCUUCUUAUUUUAUUUUGAUCUAUAAUUAAACUUUCACUUCUAUUAUAAUUUAAUUCUUUUUACUAAUUACUCUUAAUUAAGCUAAAUUCACCUAUCUAAAACCUAAUUAAACACACAACUAGUUUAAUAAAUAUUUCUAAUAAUUAUUUUCGAACUCAAUUUACUAAGACGGAGGCCCGAUAUUAUACUUUUCCGAUGCCUGUAAAUUUUUGGGUCAUUACAGGUAAUUAACGAAAUCACUUCAAUGAAUGCACCAAUCCCCUUUCUUCUUUUUCUGAGAGUGUGUUCAAUGUUAAACUUGAUAAUACCAAUGAAGACAUUGGUUGGAUUCCUUACCUAACACGUCCAUUCACUUGUAAAAGUAAAAGUCUUGGUUAGUAUUUUGUUCUUUUCAUUGGAUAUGAAGAUUACUAUUUUGUUCUUGUUCUUAUGGUUUUCCAAGUGUAAAGUAAGGAUUGUUUUGGUUCUUAAUAAAAGUUGAAUUUUCUUAACAAAAUGAACAAAUAUAUAAAAUAUUAUCAAAAAAAGUCAUUUCGAGAAGUUCUUAAGAGAACCAUUGACUUGUAAUUAAUCCAAAGAUUCCAAGUCUUGCAUUGAUGGCUGGAUUAAAAUAAAUUCCACCCAAAAAAAUAAGCAACAAGGCCAAAUUAGUUUAUAACUUGUAAUUGGGGGUAGGUUGGCACCUUCUUUUAUUGAAUAAAUAUCAAAAUUGUAUUUGAAAUUUAAUUUAAUGAAUAAUAUCAUAUAUAUAAAUUUUAAUUUUAUGUUAUUAUAUAUGAAUCUUUUAUUUGAUUCAAUUUUCACAAAUUAUUAACAAUAUUAUCGAAUUAGUAUAAUUUACGUUGUUAUAUUAUAUACAUAGUAUGAGAAUAAAUGCAUGUAAUUUAAACAUGUACAACUGAAUCAAAAUUAAAAUUUUAUAUAUAAUUACAUCAGUUUAAAUUUUAUCAUCAAAUUUCAUAUAUAAAUUGAUAAAUAUUUUUUAAAAUAAUAUAAAUUUUUUUAAAUUUCAUAUAUAAGUUUUUUUUUUUUUGUCCAAGUUCCCACCACAAGUAGGAGAUUCAAUACGAUGCUUUGAAGGUCCAAUGUAGGGCAAGAAUGGCAAACUUUAUUUUAGUGAGGAAUGAAUUAUUUUAUUCCAGGAAAUGAAUUACAUUGUGUUGCAGCAACUUUCCUCAAAAUCCUUACUCCGAAAAUGAAGAAAGCUCAAAAAGCUGAGAAUAUGUAUCUCAAAUCACGUAAACCUGAAUUUCUCUUCAUACUAUUAUUCUUAUACACCCUUCCUAUGGGGUUACUUGUUCCUUUUACCAUGGCUGCAGCAAUUGAUGAUGGUAACAUCCAUUUCAAUUUGACUGAUUUCACCCCAGAUAUGCCUCACAUAGAGUUUGAAAAUGAUACAACCGCAUCAGGUGGCCAAAUCCAACUCACCACCAACCAGAUAAACAAGAAUUUAAACGAUAGUGUUGGUCGAGCCACUUAUUACCAACCAAUGCACCUUUGGGACAAUUCAUCAGGGAAUCCCAGACUUGCAGAUUUCACCACUCAUUUUUCUUUCUCCAUCAAUUCCUUGAAGAAGCCCUCCGGAGAUAGGGGUGAUGGGUUUGCGUUUUUCCUUGCUCCCGAUGGCUCAAAAAUCCCUCCUUACUCCGGAGGUGGUUGCUUGGGACUUCAAAGUUGCGAUAUAGACGCCAACUCUAAAUUUGUUGCAGUGGAAUUUGAUACGUUUCCCAAUGUAUGGGAUGAUCUGAGGUCAGAUCACGUGGCCAUUGAUCUCAACUCUGUAAAAGCUUCAUUCCACCCUGUCGAAUGGCUGUGGAGUGAUAUUGAAAAUGGGAGUAAAGUUGAUGCUUUCAUCACUUACAACUCUAGUACAAAAAACCUGAGUGUCUUUUUACUCGGUGCUGAGGACUUUAAUCGUCUAAAUUCAUCUGCUCUUUCUGCAAUAUUGGAUCUUAGUCAAUAUUUACCAGAAUGGGUCACUUUUGGCUUCUCCGGAGCCACUGGAUCUAGCAUUGAGCUACACACUAUUUAUUCCUGGAGUUUCAGCUCCAACUUACAAGUUUCCACGAAUAAAACCAUCAAUCCUCCAAAUGUGGCGCCAGGCCCUCCAAUCAACCCCAAAAGGAAGAGCAAGACAUGGCUAUGGGUAGUUCUAGCCAUUGCUGGUGGCAUUUCUGCAUUGCUCCCAGUUCUGAGUCUGGUUUGGCUUUUCUGUAGGAGGAGAAAGUACAGAAGGAUGAGGGAAGAUGGGACCAUGUCUGUCAACGUAGACGUGGAAAUGAUGACAGCACCUAGGAAGUUUUCCUACAGGGAACUCAGGCUUGCAACCAAUAAUUUUGCCGAUGAAGGUCUCCUUGGAGAGGGAGGUUUUGGAAAAGUUUAUUUAGGCUUCUUGAGGGACAUCAAUUCCAAUAUUGCUGUCAAAAGGAUAACUCCAAAUUCUCAACAAGGGGUGAAAGAGUACGAAUCCGAAAUUACCACUAUUAUCAAAUUGAGGCACAGGAAUUUGGUCCAACUCAUCGGUUGGUGCCAUGACAAUAAGGAGUUCCUCAUUGUGUAUGAGUUCCUUCCAAAUAGGAGUCUCGAUUACCAUCUACAUAGAGAGCCAUGCUUGUUGACAUGGGAUACAAGGUAUAAAAUCGCCAUGGGAGUGGCCUCAGGGUUGUUUUAUCUGCAAGAAGAAUGUGAUCGAUGCGUGCUGCAUCGAGACAUCAAGUCAAGUAAUGUUCUGCUAGAUUUUAGUUUCAAUGCCAAGCUUGGUGACUUUGGGCUGGCUAGGCUUGUUGACCACGGACAAGGGUCUCAAACAACAAAAUUGAUCCUUGGAACUGAUGGUUAUAUAGCACCCGAGUGUCUUGAGACAUACAAAGCCAUUAAGGAAUCCGACAUAUACAGCUUUGGUAUUGUUGCCUUAGAAAUAGCCUCCGGAAAGAAGGCCGUAGAUGUAAUUGAAAGGAAUGGCAAGAGAUUCAAGACAAAACUGGUGGAAUGGGUUUGGGAAUUGUAUAGGGAAGAGCGUCUUUUGGACGCUGCUGACCCAAGAUUGUCUGGAAACUACGACACGGAACGAAUGGAACGGUUGCUGUUAGUUGGGAUGGCUUGUGCUCACCCAAACUAUUUUGACCGUCCAUCCAUAACGAAUGCUAUGGAAAUCCUUGGUUCCAAGGCCCCACUGCCCAGUUUACCACGCGAGAUGCCGGUUCCAAUAUACAUUGCAGCUCUGCAAGACAACAUCUUUACAUCUUCAGCAUCCACUUCAUCCUAUACCAGUGCCUCCAACAGAAGCCAAACUCAAAGUUCAGGCACUGGGUCAAGUAUCCAUUCCUUUAAGGAUAAAACAAUGGCUCCAGGUUAUGACACGGAAGCCAAGCAGUGAAUUCUUGGCAGUUGGUAGUUCGAACCUUCUUUUGUUGUAUAUUUGGCUUCUUGUUUUCUAGUUUUGAUGCUUUGGUGAAAAUUUUGUUCUCACCUUAAUAUUAGUAGGUCAUAUCAUGUCUGUCUAUAUAUAUAUAUAUAUAUAUAUGAUAUUUAUGCUCACGAUUGAGUUGAUACAUCAAUUUAAUCAAGUAAAAGACAAAUUAAAUAUAUUCAUAAAAAAUUAUAUAUUAAUAAGGUUAUAAAAAUAAAUUAAUUUAAAAGGAAAAAAAACCACCAACAAAUAUUCUAUAUGAAUAUUUAUUUUUAUUUUAUAGGGUGAGAUAUAAAAGAAUUAUCACUAAGGUAGUGAGUGUGUGAAGAAAUCUAGUAUUAAACUAUAUGGAUUGAUACAUGAAUAUAAUAAUUAAAAUUUUAACAAUUUUAAUUGUAUUUUAGAUAUUUUUAUUUCGGAUAAUCUCUUAAUAGGUUCUAAUGGAAUUAAUAGAUAUAGAAGUGCAUGUUUGAGUGGCGUUUAUUGACUCGAGUUAGUGAUCCUAACUUUUGGUCCAACCUUUGUUAUUUGCGUCUCUUGCUUUAUUGUUAAUCUUACAAAGCUUUCUGAUUAAUUUUAGUUUUAUACAUUAUGAAUUGGUUCAAUUUAAUUCCUUUAAUUUGAAGUUUUAAAAUUGUAAUCUUGGUAUUUGUAUUUUAAUUUGGUUAAUUUUAAUUCUUAUACUUUUCGAAUUGGUUAAAUUUAAUUCUUGUAAUUGGAAGUUUUAAAAUUGUAGUCUUAAUAUUUUAAUUUAGUCAAUUUUAGUUUUUAUACUUUUUGAAUUAGUUAAAUUUAAACCUAAACAAUAGCAAUUAAAUCUAUUUUGUUAAAUUCUAAUAUUAGUCCCAUAUAGUAUACAUAAAGUUGUAGACUUAUUCCGCGUUCUCUAAAUUCAUCAUUUUUAAUCUUUAUGCUUUUUGAAUUUUAAAUUUUAAAUAUUAAUGCUAACUGCGAUUAUUAAAUCUAUUAAUUGGAUUUUUUUGGAUUCAUCAUUCCAACUUGCUAAUUUGAACAGUACAUCAAAGGAGGGCCUAUUGUUGGAUUUGUAGAUUUGAGCCCCUGAAAUGUUUGUGUGUAUGCAUGGCUAAGUAAAAUUUUUGAAAUUUCUUUUACGAAUUCUGAUAGCAGUAAUUAACUCGAUGAUGGGUGUCGAUUCCACCAAUAUAAUCCUACGCCUAAUGUAACACCCCUUACCCGAGACCAUUGUCGGAGUUGAGCACGAGGCAUUACUUAGCUUAUCUUACUAAUUCGGAGUAUAAAAACUUGUUUUGAAAAUUAAUUUCACUAUUUACUGCAAAUCUGUCCAAUCGUGUAACAGUUACUAAAUUAAUUAUAACUCGAGUUGCGGGACUCAAAAUUUAAUUCCGCAAAUUUUCCCUGAAACUAGACUCAUAUAUCUUCCUACUAUAAAAUUUUUAGAAUUUUUGCUUUAGUCAAUUAGUACAGUUUAUUAGUUAAAGACUCCCCCUGUUUCACCACUUGACUGUCCUGACCUCUUGCCACUAAAAAUAAAUUUUCUCAUUGUAGGAUUUUCAUAUGAAGUUAUUACUUGUUUCUAUAGAAAAUAGACUCAAUAAGUAAUCUAAGAAUGUAAAAUACAACUCAUAAAUAUUUUUUUACAAUUUUUAAUGAUUUCCUAAACUCAAAACAGGGGACACCAAAAACUGUUCUGACCAUGUGUCACGAAAAUUCAAAUAUCUUAAAAUAUAAAACUCCUUUUGUUAAACCGUUAUUUUUCCAUGAAAAUAGACACAACAAGCUUUAAUUCCAUAUAUCAUUCACCUUCUAACUCAUUAUAUACUAUCCUAGGUGAUUUUUAAAGUCACAUCACUGUAGCUGCUUGAAAUCUGUUUCUUUGCAAAAUUUUACUCUUUCAUGAUUUCCAUGCAUGAUUUAUCAUCUAAAUAUACAUAUUACCAAACAUUAUCACAUACUCACACAUCUUCCUUUAGCAAUAUCAUAGAUAAAAACAUUCAAAAUGACUAAUCCCUAUACAUCACUUAGGUAUAAACAUUACUUAGGUACAUGCCACGUUAUCAAAAGAAAGGUACAUCGCUAAAUUCUCUGAGGUUGGGACUACUCUGGAUGCUGGACCGAACACUGGAUUUCUACUAACUUGCGCACGGAAACAACCGUACACUGAGCAUGGGAAUACUCAGUGGUAUUACCAUAAUUCAAAUUUAUAACAUUAAUGGAUAAAUUAUAUACAUUUAAUUUAUGUCUACAAUUAUUCAUUAAUUAUCCCAUACUUUAAAUCAACUUGACCAUUAAUAACAAUAAGCAAUAUUUCAGUCUGGUAUUCAUACCUUAUUUCACUAUCUAAAUUUUAUUGGAUUUUUCACAUCUCAUUCCAAUAAUUUAUUUCAAUUCAUAUGAAAUUCAUUUUAUUUAUCACUAUAUUUAGUAUCAAUUCUAUUGCAAUUUUUACUCACUAAUAUCAUAUAACAAAAAUUUACUCUUAAUCAAAUCAUGAGCUUUGGGUUCAUAUCUUCAAAUCUCUUAUCUCGAUUUCCAAUUCACCUAUCAAUUCACAAUUUCACUUUCUCAUUUCUUUCCAUACCUCAAUCAAUCACACUUAUUCAAUUUUUUUUUCAUUCCAAUUAUUUACCCUAUUAACAAGACUCGGACUUUGGCGGAUACACGGAUCCAACCAAACACACCAGAAUGGCACCCAGUGCCUCAUCGGAUAGUUCGAAGCAAUAAAGUGACACCCAGUGUCUCAUCGGCAGAGCCGAAGAAAGUUGGUACCCAGUACCUCAUCGAAUCUAUCCGAAGUAACAGUAUGACACCCAGUGUCUCAUCGACUCAAGGUCAAAAUAUCCCUGAACACUUCCAAUCCUAUGGCAUGCCAACUAUAUCCGACUCAGCCCGACUAGUUAAUAGGGUAUUCAAAUCAUUUUUCUAUUUCAAAAUCACUUUCGAUUCAAUCACAAUUUAAUUCAGAUUCACUUCCCACUUUCUAAUCAAUAUACAAUUCAAUACCAAUACAUAUUUCAGAUAUUCACGUACAAUCAUACUUCAAUUCAAUUCAAACCACUUUUCUAUCUAUACUCAAUUCACAUAUUCACACAUAAUCAUAAUUUAAUUCACUUUUAUUCAAUUCAUAUUUUUAAUUCAUUUAAUUCAAUAUCGAUAUUCACCUUAUUUUUAUUUACUAAACAUAUUAUUCAAAAUUCAACAAUUACUAUCAAUAAAUUCAAUACCAAUACGUGUGUGUAUAUAUCUAUAUAUUUCAUUCAAUUCAAUCAUGAUACUCACCUUAAAUUUGCUUAUAAUGUAUAUUAAUUUAAAUUUCAACAAUGAAUAAUUAAAUUCGAAUUAUGGUAAUACUAACCGAAAUUUUCUCGAAUCACUCCUUGUCCACCUUCUCCUUUCCUUUCUCGUACAAUGACUCUUGCACGACAUUAGCUACGUAAUUAAACAAUUAAAAAUCAUUAAUACACAAUUUCAUCAAAAUAUUUCCAUUUAUACCUAAACUCUAAUUUAAUCCCUUAUCAAUACUAAUUUUAUUUUUCCUAAUCUAACUCCAUAUUCUCUCUUAAUUCUCACUAUAAACUCAUUUUAACUCUUCAAUUUCACCAUAAAUCCCUAAUUUCGAAAUUCUCUCAAUUUAGUCCCUACUAUUCAAAACUUACACUUUAUUUUACAAUUAAAUCAUUUACUAACUUCUAACUUGAAAUUAAAUCAAUUUAACCCCUAACACUUCAAUUUAUUCAACAUGAACAUCAUCUAAUAAUCUACUAACUUUCAAAAUAUCAACAUAAAUCAAGUAGUAUUUAUCUCUAGGAUUCCAAAAACAUCAAAACUAAGAGAAAAGGGAUUAAAUUGACUUACCAAAUGAGCUUAGAACCUCAAAACCUCAAUUUUCUCUUUUCUUUCUUUCUUUUCUUUCUUUCCUUCUUUCCUUCUCUGUUUCGUCCAUGCUAUUCUGUUUCUAUUCUCUUUUCUAUCUUUUAUUUCAUUAGUUUAAUAUAAUAACAAUAAAAUAAUAAUAUAAAAUUAUUUACUUAAAUAAUAAGUAAAUGUGUAAUAAUUACUAAUAUAUGUAUUUUAUUUUUCCACAUGUCAUCAUAUACACCAUACAUUUGUCAACAAUUUUGUUUAUUUAAAAUAUAAUAAUAUAAUAAUAUAAUAAUAUAAUAUAAUUUACAAUAUAAUAAAAUAAUAAUAUACUUCAAAAAAAAUCUCAGAUUUUAUCAUGCAUAUGCCGCCUCAUUUAUGGGACUUGGCAUAUUUACCUAUUUAGUCAUUUUAACUUUUCUUUAAUCUAUAAUUCAACUUUUACCUUUGUUGCAAUUUAGUCCUUUUUAAUCAAUUAACCAUCGGAACAUUAAAAUUUCUUAACGAAACUUUAAUACUACCCUAAUGACACUCCGUAAAUAUUUAUAAAAAUAUUUACGGCUCAGUUUAUAAUAUCGAGGUCUCGAUACCUCGUUUUCGACCCAAUUUUCCUAAUAAUUUCUUUUAAAUCACAAAAUUCGCUAAUUCAAAAAUAUUUCUAAAAUCACGCUGAACUUAUAAUUAUUAAUUAAUAAAUUUUUCUAACGUUUUCAUCAGAUUUAGUGAUCUCAAAUCACUAUUCUGACACUACUGAAAAUUGGGCUGUUACACCUAAUUUGUAAACUUGAGCAGUAUAAGGAGUAGGGUCGAUCCCUCAGAGACUGGGUUCACGUAAAAUUGUUGCUCUUUCUCGACCAGAUUCGUGUCUGGGCAGUUGUCGUGCCCAAGAAAUUUGGGGGGAGGAUAAAAAUUGAAACUUGAAAUAAACAGAAAAAAAUACGUAAAAAGUAAAAGCUGAAAACAAAUAAUAAAAACAGUUAAAUAAAUCUGAAGAAAGAUUAAUUAAACUUAGCUCAGCUUCAGGCACGGGUUUUUCCUCGUCUUUGAAUCGAUCCUCGAAAUUAGAUGAACUCCUCUUUUCCAAUAAGCUAGUUAUAGAUACCAAGGACGCCUCGGACACCAACUCUUCCUUGUGUAAAUUAGUUAUGAAACGUCCUAUAACUAAACCUUACCGAUCGAACAACCAACGAAACGUUCGUGGUUUAGAACUCCGGCAGCUUUGCGUUCUAGAAGAGCCUAGCUCGAACCAAUAUCCUCAACCGCUUGAGACAUUUAAAUCCGGUUACUACUUCCCUUGACAGAGCCAAACAGCAAUCCCCACUUGGCACGCCAAUGUUUUCACGAAAAACCGAUUAGACAAUCAAUCCUUUCGGAAUCCCAACUGUAUGUCUAACCACACUAACUCAAACGACAUCUUUUUUUGACUUAGUGUCGAUUUGACUUUGUGAGUUGAUGAAGUCAUACUCUUAAUCCGAAGAAGUAAUAAAAAUUGAAAAUUAGGAAUUGAAUUGCUCGGGUUCGUAACUCAUGGAUCUUGAAGAAGCUAACAUCGACCUGAAGCUGAAAUGGGUUUAGUUAACUAAGGUUUGGGGCAUAUUGGAGUUGGUCAUAUCUUGAAUAGGUUGGAUGGAAAAAAAUGUUGAUGUUGUCACCAUUUUUUGGAUGAAAAACGGGGUCAAUUUGGAUUUUGGAAAUAAAAACAAAAAUAGGGAGUCGCCACCAAUCCUUUUUUAUGAGGUGUGAUUAGAUCACCUUGAAAAGUGGUUGUUUUUAAUAAACGGUUUGAUUUUAUUAAAACAAUAGGUUUGGUCCACGAAAUUCAGAAAAACGGGUUCGGGAGUCGGUUACGCACGAGGAAGGAUUAGCACCCUCGAUACGCCCAAAAUUGGUACCUUAGUUGAUUACUUAAUGUCUUAAUGUCGAAAAGCUGAAAACUUUAAAGAAAUUUAAAAAAAAUACGAUCCUUGUAUUAAAAAGUUGAAAAUUUUGGAAAAAGUGGCAUAUUUCACGUUAAUCGAGAAAAGACAUCAUAUCCAGUAAGUUAGGAUACAACGUCUCGAAUUCUCGAUACUGGAGUGAAUGCUAAAAUGUUACCCCUUUUCAAAAAAGUUUUAUUAUCUCGGGUUUAGAAAAUAAAUCUUGCCCAGUAAGUUAGGGCACGAUCUUUUCUUAACUUCCGAGAUCAUUUUAAAAAAAACUUCGAAUUUGAAAAGAUUCGUGUAUUUAGAUUUAUUGAGAAAGUCGAAACCCAGUAAGUUAGGGCACUAUUUUCAAAUAUCUAAACACGAGAUUUAAUUUAUUUGAAAUGGAUUUUGAUAUAUUGGGCAAAAUGAAACACGAUGCUAAUAUGUAUUGCGAUAUAUAUAAAAAAAAUAUGUAUGUGAAUUAUAAAAUAUAGAAAAUAUGUAAGAAAAAUAUAGAUUUUAAAAUAUAAAUAAUAUGUAUAAGUAUGUGUAUAUAUAUAAAAACACGUACAUACACAUGUAUAUAUAUUAUAAAAGUAUAAAUAUGUACAUAUAUAAAAUAAAAAAUGGGUAUGUGCAUACAUAUAUAUUACAUAAAAUAAAUGAUAUAAGUAUGUAUAUUGUAAAAUAAAACAGUGUAAGUAUGUACAUAUAUAUGUAAAAAAGAGACAUAUAUACAUAUAUUUUAUAAAAAUGAAUGAUGGAUAUAGACGUAUAUGUAUGUAUGUAUAACAAAACAUAUGUAUGUAUAUAAGCUAAAAACGUGUCUAUAAAGAGAUAUAUAGAUAUAUAUAAUAAGAUAUAAAUAUAUAAUAAGAUGAUAUAUAUAACUAGUUAUAAUAAUAAUAAUAAUAAUAAUAAUAGGACAAAUAUAUUCAAAAUUUAAAUAAGUAAAUAUAAAUAAAAUAUAACAAUAACAAUGUAAAACUAAAUGGUAUAAUAAUGGUGACGUAAAUAUACAUAUAUAUAAUGGCAAAAUAUAAUAAUAAUAGCUAGAUUAGUUAAUAAAACAACAAAAAUAACGAAAUGGGUCAAUUUGUGAUAAAAAUAAAAUUUAAAGGGUAAGACUAUAAUAAAAUGCACAAAGGAGGACCAAAAUAGAAGGGCGCGAAAGGAAGAAGGACCAAAUGGGUAAUAAACCCGAUUUUCAGGCCACGCGUCCCUUCCUUAGGGGCCCAACUAAUUGAGGAUCAAAUUAAAAAAGGGAACAAAUCCGUGGUCCAAAUUAAAAUAGGAGAAAAAAAGACAAAUGGUCCAAAUUGAAACAGACUGAAAAUGCGGAAGGGCCUGAAGCGCAAAUAACCCCUUUGAUAGAAAACACGCGGAUCCUUGGCAAGCGGGUCGGAUGGAUCGGGUCUAAAGACUAAACGACGUCGUUUUAAGGCUAUGAUGCCAAGCCCUAAACGACGCCGUUUAAGAGGGGUAUAAAAUUCUAAUUUUUUUAGCAAAAAUUCAUUCUCUUCCACUCUUCAAAAAAAAAAAAACAAAAUACUCUCUCAACUCUCUAAGGCUCCGGCCUUUUGGGGUUCUCAGCCCCAGUCGCGCCGAUCAUCGCCUUGCCGCACCAGCGCCGCGCCGGCCACCGGGUGCGGUGGCCGGAAAAUUCAAAAGGUAUUUUUUUAUUUUUUUUAUUUUUUAUUUUUUUUUGCAAAUAAGCUGCUUUUUAAUAUAUAUGUAUAUAUGUGUGAAAGAUUAAAAUAAAUAAAUAUAGAGAAUAAAAGAUGCGAAAAAAAAUCACCUUUUCGAUUUUUGUUUAUAUUUCCGGGUAAAUAUUACAAAAUAGAUGAAAAGAAAAAAAAAGCCUCCCUCUUUGAUGUUCGAAUGGCUUUAUAUAGAGCCAUUUUACAAAAAAAAUUUUAUUGUUUGUUGCUGCUUGCGUGUGUUCUUCAUUUUGCAGGGCUGAUGGAGGACGAUGGGACGUGCGCGGCGCAAGUGGCAGAGCAGUUGGUGGCUACGGCGGUGCAGAGGAGUUGGUGAGAAGGUUUCUUUUUUUUUUUGGAUUUGGGCUCCGAAUUUGGGCCUCGGGUUUGGGUUGUAAUUGGGCUUGUGGGUUGGUGUUUGGGCUCUGUUAAUUGGGCUGUACAGUUGAAAUGGUAAAAAGUGGGUGGCUUAAUAUGUGGAAUAGUUUUUGGUUACACGGAAUGAGAAAAAAGUUUGGAAAAGAAAAUUGUAAGUAGUGUAGGUUGGGGACAAGCUAGAAAUUAAUAAAUUGAAAGUAAAGAAACCAAAGGCAACAAAUAAUUUUGAGAGAAUGAAGGAAAGAUUGCAUUCCAAAGAUGAAAGCUUGAUUGAAAACUUGAUUAAAAACUUGAUUAUUAAAUGAACAUAGUAGCCCCCUAUUUAUACUAGUGGCUUUGAACAAAUUUGCCAAAUUAAGGGCCACUAGCCAUAGAAAAUCAAGGAAACAAAAUAUUUUCAUGAUAUCAAAAUUCCUACAUAACCUCCCACUAAGUCAACAUAAAAUUUCAGCUAAUUACAUCUUGGAAAAAUUCUGCUUUGGCCCGCCUUCUUUGCUCCUUUCUUCAAUCUAGCCCCAAUUGUUUCCUUUUUUUUUCUAAUUAGCCUCAAAUUGCACCCCUAUAUAAAAUUCAAUAUAAACAUGAAAAAAUCAGUGAUGCAUUCUAAUAAAUUGACCAAUUAAAUUACAUAAAAUAUGUAUUUUUAACAUUUAAUCACUCGAAUUUAAAUUUAUAUAAUAAUACUAAAAUAAUUUGUGAGUAAUAAACGGAUUUAACUCUUUAAUCAUAUUUGCAUAUUUAAAUUCAAAUAAUUUUAAAAAUACAGAUAUUCGACCCAUUUCCGUUCUUAAUAAGAUUAAAGAUGCUAUCCAAAUUAAUAUUUAUAUAAUCUAUCAGGUCGAAUAGAUCAUCAGGCCGAUAUCUAUGUCAAAUAGCAACACAUGUUAGAAAAUUAUUAACUAAAUUCAAUAACUUAAUUAAAUUAUUAUCUAUACUAUUUAAGAAAUUUUUUAUUGAAUUGGUGUCACCUAUCAAUCGAGUCCUGAUUCAGUUAGAAAACUAUCAAAAAAAUCAUGUAUUUAAAAAGUAAAUUAUACAAUUACGUGAGUAUUUUUAGCUUUUUAUAUUUUUAUAUAUCAAUACUCUAUAAUGAGAUUUAAACCAAAUACAUCGUGCAUAUAAAACGUUUUCUUUACCGUUUAAACUAAAUUAAUUUUUAGUUUUUAUAUGAAACUUUAAUAAGUAUAUUUGUUAAUAAAUUUGUUCUAUAUUUAUUUUUUUUCAUUUUGGUUGAUGGAAAUAAAUUGAAAGCUUAAUUAAAUAAAUUUAAACAAAAUUCAUCAAAAUAAAUUUAAAAAUUUAUUUAUAAUUUAAACACGAAAAGUCAAACUAAACCAUCAAAAUCUUCCAACAUGCAUGAAGGUUGCGAUAAAGCAAUCCUAAUUGUACACAGACUCUUUAUCUAUUGUCAUUGAUGGACCCCAUAAGUCAGACCUUUAAAAUGACUUGUGAGAAAAUAAGCAACAAGACAAGUUAAUUUAUAACUUUCUAAAAUUAAAAUUAACUCAAAAUAAAUUAAUUUAUAAUUUAGUUGGGGUGGGUUGGAACUUUCCUUUUAUGGAAUAAACAUCAAAAUUAUAUUUGAAAAUAUAGUAUUAUAGAUGUCGGUUGAGUGUUAACUCGAUUGUCAUGAGUAUUGUUAUUAAUGUAGGAGAAUAUGAAUUUAAGUACGCUGAAACACAUUAUCUUUCUACGAAUUUACUUGCUCAUUUUACCAUGGCUGCAUCAAUUGAUGUUGGUAACAUCCAAUUCAAUUUGACUGAUUUCACCCAAAAUAUGCCUAGCAUAGGCAAUCCAACUCACCACCAACCAAAGAAACAAGGAAUUAAACGAUAGUGUUGGUCGAGCCACUUAUUACCAAACAAUGCACCUUUGGGACAAUUCAUCAGGGAAUCUCAAGAUUUCACCACUUGUCGAAACAAUUUUUUUAAAUUCAAAAAACGGGGAUCGACUUUGAAAAUAAAAUGGGAGUCGCCACCAAUCUUUUAUUGAGGUGUGAUCGGAUCACCUUAAAAAUAAUUUUUGGUCUACGAAUUUUGAGAAAAUAAGUUCGGAAGUCGGUUGCGCACGAGGAAGGGCUAGCACUCUCAUAACGCCCAAAAUUGGUACCGAAUUGGUUAUUUAAUGUCUUAGUGUCGAAACUUAACUUGAAAAGAUUUUUAAAUACGAUCCCAUGAAAUGAAAGCUUAAAUAAUUGAAUUGGUUAAAUGGACGGACCCAUUUCAAAGAAAUAGAUCACCACACUCAGUGAGUUAGAGUGCAACAGUUCAAUCUUCAAAGUUAGGUUCAUCCCUUUUUAAUAUUUUUUUUAAACAUGUUUUAAGAAGGAUAUUUGAUUAUUUAAGUCAAUCCAGAAAUCGGAAUCCAGUAAGUUAGGGUUCAAUUUCUCGAAAUUCUUAAACAUCAAAUAUUGCCUUUAUUUUAAAAUCGAGAUAACAAAAUGUCGUAUCCAGUAAGUUAGGAUCCAACAUUUUGAAAUUUAAAGAAUUUUAUUUUAAUAGUUGUAUGGUUUUAAUAAAAUGAACACUUGAUUAUCUUAAUUCAUCGAGAAGAAUUGAAGCCCAGUAAGUUAGGGCACAAUUCUCUCGAGAACCUAUGAACACCAAGCUUUUUUUAAGGAUUAUGAAAUAAAACGAUUAUGAUGCUUUAAUAAAAUUCAACUCUUACAAAUGGAUAAAAUAACAAUUUAAACUUAAACUAGAAGCAAUUAAACAAAUAAUAGGCAAAUACAAACAUUGACCUUAAUCAUAUCAUACAAACAUCCAUAUUAAUAAUUUAACAACCCAUAAAACGAAUAAAAUAAAUAAGGUUUAAGAAAUAAAACAUUUAUGUAUAAAAAUUAUGUAAAAAAGGUUAAUCCAAAGUUAAUGAUAUACUCUAUAUACAUAUAUAUACUAAAAAUAAUUUCAUAUAAAUUAUAUAUUUUUUAAAAGUAAUAUUGAUAAAAUUAAAACAUAUUGAUAAUAAUUUAAAAAAAUAAUGUAUUAUUUUUUUAAAAAAAUUUGUACUAAUAAUAAAUUUGAAAAUAAUAUCAUACUAAAUAUCAAAAUAAUGUUAGAAAAUGAAUUAAAAUAAGAAUUAAUUUGUUUAAAAAACAUUUUUUUUGAAGACAAAAUUAAAUAUAAUAAAACAAUUUUGAAAAGUAAUAACAAUAUUAUAAUAAAAAUAUUAAUAAAUUUAAGAUCGGAACUUAAAAUUAAACCAAAAGGAAAAGCCAAAAUUAAAUAAAUAUAGUAGAUUCAAAAUAUUAUUAUAUAAUAAAUUUAAAAUAUAAAAUACAAACUAAAAUAAUAAUCUAUCAUAUCUUAAAUUAUAAUAAUUGUAGAUUUAAAAAAACCAUCAAAAUCAAAUGUUACAAAUAACGUUAGAUUUUAUAAUAUACGAAAAUAGGAUUAAUUAUAAUUAAAAAAUGUUAUUGAUUUCUUUUUUUUUUAAACUAAACUCAUGUUAAAUUAAAAUUUAUUUCAAAAUUGGAGGACUGAAUCGGCAAUUAAACCCAAAAGCUCAGAAUAAUCAAAGUCAAGUGCAGUAAACGGUAUCGUUUCAAUUUGGAUCUAAAUGAAAACAGAACAAAAUAUGCAGUACGAAUUACAAACAAUUAAAAGAAAUCAAAUCGCAAUUCCAUUAAACAUAGAGGGACCCAUUGAACAAAUAGACCAAAUGAUCCAUAAUGCGCGGAUCCUUCCCGGAUCGGGUCACCAUUCGGAUCUGGUCACCAAAACGAUGUCGUUUCAAAGUCAUUGCAUUGGCUUUAAACGACGACGUUCAAACUACAUAAUUAAAGUUUAAAAAAAAACCUAAUAAUCUAUUAACUUUGAAAACCUGAAGAGAACUAAGGUUCUCUGCGCCGUUCUGGGCAUUGGGGGCAUGCAAGCAAUUGCUGACCCUAACCCAUACUUCGAUGAUGACGGAGAGAGCCAGGAUCCCACCGCCAGGUACGCCUUUUCCUUUAUUUUUAUUGUCUCUUCUCUUCUCUCUGAUUAAUGACACAAAAAUAAAUAAAAGAAAAAAGAAACAAGAAAUAACUGGUGAAAGGAAAAAGAAAUGAAACCCAGAAAAUCACCUUUCGGUAUUUCAAAAUUUCUUUGUAUUCUGAAUGCGUGUGUGUAACCCCUUACAAAUUUCAAUCGGUCCUCUUUAUAGCCAAACCAAGAAAAAAAAUAAAAUUUCUCUAUUUUUUUGCACUUUCUUCCUAUUUUCUACUAGUAUUUGCUGUCAAUCUAUUAUUGUUCCCCCUUUCUUUACUGUUGUUAUCUGUUUUGCUGCUUGUUUGUUUCUCCUUCUUGCAGGUACGGCGUACGGAGGGUAGACGUGGCGUGUGGAGGCACGAGUGAGGCUGAGGGAGAACCUUGUUGGCUGCGGCGUUGGAGGCUUACCAUUCAGCUUUUGAUUUUGCAUCGUUGGGCCACAUAGUAAUUGGGCCACUGUUUUACGAAUUGGGUCUAGGUUAGAUUUGGUUUCAAUUGUAUGGGUAUUGGGUUAAAAAUGAUUUGGGCCCAUGUAUUUGGACUUUAGACUUUUAAAUAUUGAUUUGGUUUAUUAUUAUUACGGGCCGAGAAAAUAUUGGGCCUUACACCACUCAUUUUUCUUUCUCCAUCGAUUCCUUCAAUAAGUCCUCCGGUGAUAAUGAUUGUUCUCAUUGGCUAUGAAGAUUACUAUUUUGGGUAAACUAUCAAAAUAGUCACUUUUGUUUGCCUUAGGUUACAUUUUAGUCACUUAUAUUUGAAAUGUUACGUUUUAGUCACUUACGUUAUCAUGUUGUAACAUUUUAGUCACUGAGUCAUUAAUUGUCAACAAUGGUGUAACGGUAAGUUGAUGUGGCACGUUAAAUCAUCAUUUCAAACCAAAAUUUUAGGUUAAAUUCUACAAUUGGUCCCUAUAUUUUUUCAUUUUCAACAAUUUAAAAAAUUUCUUUUAUGUUCUUCUAUUUUUUUUUCCAUUCUCUUAUGCUUCUCCCUCUAUUUUCCUCCCUUCUUCAUUUCUUUUAACAUAGUUUUUCUAUGCUUUCCAUUUGUAACUAGUCCACAAGCUCGCCUCACUCGAAAUAUUUAACUUGUUCAAAAAAAUAAAACAUAGAAAAACUACGUUGAAAGAAAUGGAGAAGGGAGGAAAACAAAGGGAGAAGCAUAAGAGAAUGGAAAAGAAAGAAAGUUAAAAAAACAUAAAAGAAAAAAAUUAAAUUGCUCCAAACGAAAAAAUAUGGGGAUCGAUUGUAUAAAUUAACCUAGAAUUUUUGUUUGAAAUGAUGAUUUAACAUGCCACAUCAGUUUACUGUUACACCGUUAACAGAAACUAACGGCUCAGUGACUAAAAUGUUACAACGUGAUAACAUAAGUGACUAAAACGUAACAUUUCAAACAUAAGUGACUAAAAUGUAACCUGAGCCAAACAAAAGUGAUUAUUUUGGUAGUUUACCCUACUAUUUUUAGAUUUAAAUUUUGUUCUUGUUAUGGUUUUCCAAGUGUAAAGUAAUGGUUAUUUUCGUUCUUAAUAAAAGUUGAAUUUUCUUAGCAAAAUGUACAAAUAUAUAAAAUCUUAUCAAAAAAAUCAUAUCGAACUUGUUGUGAGGAGACCCAUUGACUUGUAAUUAAUCUAAAGUCUUUGUAGUUUUAUAAACAUUUAUGACCACAAUAAGUGGAGCCCAUAGAGAAGAAGUCAAUUAUUUAUUGAGUAAAAGAUUAUAUGAAAUUGAGAUACUAUAUUAUUUGUAUCUAUUUUAAUAAUUUAAUGUCAUUUCAGCAUACAAAAUUUAUUGAAUAAAUAAUUGAAAAAAAACGUCAAUUAUGAUUAUGUCCGUGUUUUUGAUCUUUUAUAUUUAUAUUAAUACUCCAUAAUGAGAUUUAAAUCAAAGUAUCAUACUAUAAAAAAAUUUCUUUACCAUUUGAACUAAAGUAUUUUUUAAGUUUUAUAUGAAACUUUAAUAAGUAUAUUUGUUAAUAACCUUGUUCUAUAUUUAAUAUAUUUUUUUAUUUUUUAUUUCAUGUUUUAUUAUUAAUUAAUUUCAAAUCAUACAUUUCAUUAUUUAUUAUAUGUUAUUUUUAAACAUAAAUUUGUAUUUUAAAUUCAUAAUUUUCACACGUAUACAUAUAUAAUAAAAUCUGUAAUAUUUUAUUAAAAUUUUAAAAAUUGAUUUAAAAAUUAAAAUUUUGCAUCAACUAAUACUACCGAUAUAACCCAAUAUUAGUCUAAACAUAUUGAAGCACAUUAUGUCUGUUCUUUUUUAUAUAAUGUUUAAAACUAUCUAUAGUCCUUCCUCAACUCAUAAAUAAAAGUAAUAUGUUUCUACACACUCGAACCUACAUAUUCCUGCAUAUUACUAAUCAAGUUAAACUCGAUUAAAAAAAUGACAUUUAUUGCCUAAUUACGUAUACGGGUAAUCUUCCAAGUCUUCGCAGGUCUAUUGUCAUUGAUGGGCCCCCUAAAUCAGUCCAUUAAAAGCACUUGUAAGAAAAUAAAGUGGCCUAAAAUAUAAGUGAUGUAGUUGGGUACGUCGGCACCUUCCUUUAUUGAAUAAAUAUUAAAACUUUAUUUGAAAUUUAAUUUAAUAUAUAAUAAUAUAAAUUUUAAUUUUAUGAAAUUAUAUAUAAAUAUUUUAUUUGAUUUAAUAUUUACAAAUCACUUAUAAUAUUAUUGAUUAAGUAUCAUUUACGUUAUUAUAUUAUAUAUAAAAAAUAUAUAUUAAUUUAAUAUGAAAAUAAAUCUACCUAAUAUUUAUUUCUUUGUAAAUAUCAACCACAAAGUAGGGGAUUCAAUACGAUGCUUUGUAGGUCCAAUGUAUGGCAAGAAUGUCAGAACUUUAUUUAAGUUUAUUUCCAGACCUGAAAAGCAAUGAAUUAGCUUGUGUUUGCAGCAAGUUCCGUCAAAAUCCUUACUCCGAAAAUGAAGAAAGCUGAGAAUAUGUAUCUCAAAUCUCUUAAACCUGAAUUUCUCUUCGUAGUAUUAUUGUUAUACACCCUUCCUAUGGCUGCAUCAAUUGAUAAUGGUAACAUCCAUUUCACUUUGACUAAUUUCACCUCAGAUACGCCUAGCAUAGAGUUUGAAAAUGAUGCAACAGCAUCAGGUGGCGCAAUAGAACUAACCACCAACCAAAAUGGCAAGGCUUUAAUCUAUAGAGUUGGUCGAGCCACUUAUUACCAACCAAUGCACCUUUGGGACAAUUCAUCUGGGAAUCUCCGACUUGCAGAUUUCACCACUCAAUUUUCUUUCGCCAUCAAUUCCUUGAAUAAGUCCUUCGGAGAUCGGGCUGAGGAUGAUAGUAGGGCUGAUGGGUUUGCGUUUUUCCUUGCUCCCUAUGGUUCAAAAAUCCCUCCUAACUCCGGAGGUGCUUGCCUGGGACUUCAAACUUGCGAUUCAGACGCCAACUCUAAAUUUGUUGCCGUGGAGUUUGAUACGUUUCGCAACCUAUGGGAUCCUCCGACGAUGUCAGAUCACGUGGCCAUUGAUCUCAACUCUGUAAAGGCUUCACUCCACCCUGUCGAAUGGCUGUGGAAUGAUAUUGAAAAUGGGGGGAAAGUUGAUGCUUUCAUCACUUACAACUCCAGUACAAAAAACCUUAGCGUUCUUUUAUGUGAUGCUGAUGGCCUUACUCAUCAAAAUUCAUCUAGUCUUUCUGCAAUAUUGGAUCUUAGUCUAUAUUUACCAGAAUGGGUCACUUUUGGCUUCUCCGGAUCCACGGGACGAUUAUCUGAGCUACACACUAUUUAUUCCUGGGAUUUCAGCUCCAGCUUACAGGUUUCCAUGAAUCCAACCAGCAAUCCUCCAAAUGUGGCGCCAGGCCCUCCAAUCAACCCCAAAAGGAAGAGCAAGACAUGGCAGUGGGUAGUUCUAGCCAUUGCUGGUGGCAUUUUUGCAUUGCUCCUAGUUCUGGGUCUGGCUUCGCUUUUCUGCAAGAGGAGAAAGUACAGAAGGAUGAGGGAAAAUGGGACCAUGUCUGCCAACGUAGACAUGGAAAUGGUGACAGCACCUAGGAAGUUUUCCUACAGGGAACUCUGGCUGGCAACCAAUAAUUUUGCCGAUGAAGGUCUCCUUGGAGAGGGAGGUUUUGGAAAAGUUUAUUUAGGCUUCUUGAGGGACAUCAAUUCCAAUAUUGCUGUCAAAAGGAUAACUCCAAAUUCUCAACAAGGGGUGAAAGAGUACGAAUCCGAAAUUACCACUAUUAUCAGAUUGAGGCACAGGAAUUUGGUCCAACUCAUCGGUUGGUGCCAUGACAAUAAGGAGUUCCUCAUUGUGUAUGAGUUCCUUCCAAAUAGGAGUCUCGAUUACCAUCUACAUAGAGAGCCAUGCUUGUUGACAUGGGAUACAAGGUAUAAAAUUGCCAUGGGAGUGGCCUCAGCGUUGUUCUAUUUGCAAGAAGAAUGUGACCAAUGCGUGCUGCAUCGAGACAUCAAGUCAAGUAAUGUUCUGUUGGAUUUGAGUUACAAUGCCAAGCUUGGUGACUUUGGGCUGGCUAGGCUUGUUGACCACGGACAAGGGUCUCAAACAACAAAAUUGAUCCUUGGGACUGAUGGUUAUAUAGCACCCGAGUGUCUUGAGACAUACAAAGCCAUUAAGGAAUCCGACAUAUACAGCUUUGGUAUUGUUGCCUUAGAAAUAGCCUCCGGAAAGAAGGCCGUAGCUGUGAUUGAAAGGAAUGGCAAGAGAUUCAAGACAAAACUGGUGGAAUGGGUUUGGGAAUUGUAUAGGGAAGAGCGUCUUUUGGAUGCUGCUGACCCAAGAUUGUCUGGAAACUACGACACGGAACAAAUGGAACGGUUGCUGUUAGUUGGGAUGGCUUGUGCUCACCCAAACUAUUUUGACCGCCCAUCCAUAACACAGGCUAUCGAAAUACUUGGUUCCAAAGCCCCACCGCCCAGUUUACCACGCGAGAUGCCGGUUCCAAUAUACAGUGCAGCUCUGCAAGACAACAUUGUUACACCUUCAGCUGCCACUUCAUCCUAUACCAGUGCCUCCAGCAGAAGCCAAACUCAAAGUUCAGGCACUGUGUUAAGUAUCCAUUCCUUUAAGGAUAAAACAAUGGCUCCAGGUUAUGACACGGAAGCCAAGCAGUGACUUCUUGGCAGUUGGUAGUUGAACCUUCUUUUUUUGUUGUUGUUGUUGUAUAUUUGGCUUCUUGGUUUCCAGUUUGAUGCUGUGUUAUAUCCAUGGUUUCUGGACCUUGUGUUUUGUUCUUUUGAUUGGGUAUAUACGAAGAUCACUCUAUGUAAAUAUUUGAUUCUUCUUAGUGUAAUGAUUGCUUUGGUUGAUUUCAAAAAAUUUAAUUCAUUUAAUUUUUAAAUUUAAAAAAUAAAAGUUGAAUUGUUAACACUAUUAAAUUAUGUAAAAUACAUCCAAACAAUUAUAAUUAUAAUUAAUCAUUAAAAAACACAAUCGAAUUGAUGAUCAGAAGAUAUUCAAACUUAUAUUAGAAUAAAUCUAUAUAUAAUUCACAUUGUGGGACAUAAACAAGAAUAUAUAUAUAUAUGAUGAAAACCCACAUAUGAUUCCUCAACCGAUCGAUAUUGUUCCCAAUAGGGAUUUUGUCUCUUGACUCCAAUGAUAGCCUGAGUACUUGAAAAGGUAGUGAUUCACGCAGUGGAAACGCCUUGUUAGGUGCCUAAAAAUGUGGACUAUGUACUCACAUGGCUAUUCACCAAAGAAAUCUCUAUAUCUGGUCACUUGGAUUAGCAAUAAUAUUUAUAUAUUGUUUUUGUUUUUGAUACAAAAUUAAGGGUUAGGGAUGGAAGUCACACGAUUUAAAUCUGUAUUAUACGAAUGUCUGCCAAAAACUUUAAGUACCACUCCAUCUAAGUGAAGACAAUAUAUAUUGUUUUUGUUAGCUAUUUUAGUUUUAAUUUAACAAUUUUUUGUUAAAAUACAUGUUAAAUUUUUAAUUAUUUAAUUAUAAUACUAACUUAGAAAUAUUUUUAAUUUUAUAUUUUAAUUAAUUGUUUUUAUUAAAACCUUCCUAACAAUGAUAACUAAUUAAUUUUACAUAAAAUAAUUUAAUAAAUUCCCUUCAUUGUUAUUAUAUUUUUAUUUAAAUUUUGCAAACUAAAUAGAUCACAAGGAAAUUUUUGAGAUAUUCUUCAAACUAAGGGGGAGUGGGGGACCAAAUGGGCAUUCGUGAAACCAUAUGGGUAAGUAUAUAUGUAACGCCCUAAAUAAUUUAUUUUUAUUUCUGUAAAUACUUGACAAAUGUGUAUUUAUUUCAGUGGUUAAGUGUUCUGGGUAUGUGUUUGAGGUAUUGAGUUCAAGUCUCAUCUUUGUCAAAUUUUGUUAUUUUUUUAUCCAAGCCUUACCCUUAUUGAGUGGGCUUAUAUAAAAUUUUCUGUUAAUCUAUAUUAGAAUGAGCUUGUUGGUUUGAGUGGUAAAGGAGUUGGUGUGUGUUGGAGGUCCUAAGUUCGAAUCCCUGCAUGAGUGAAGGUGUUUAUUUUUCUUCGGUUAACUAAUAGAGUUUCGGUAGAGCUAAAGUUUUGAAGUGGUUGAGAUUGAGGUGUUAGUGGGAAGUUGGGAAUAUCAAAUUGGUUUUAAUUUUAUUUAUUAUUUUUUUCCCAAAAUUUCCUCUGUUGACUUUUUUUUCUGUUGCUUUUCAUUCUCUACAUUUUUUUUCUUUUUCCUCUCCAUCUUUCAAACUUUGUUCCAAUUAAACUGUGGGUUUCGUUGACUGAUCGGCAUUGUUGUGCAAUUGUUGCUUCUUUCUGUCCAACUUUCAAUUGCGAUUUAAUUUGGUAAGUUUGGGUAGGGUAGUUUUGCUUUCGUUUGGUAAUCCUUUAUUAAUGGGUGUCGUUCAUGUUGAUUAAGGGAAGAUCAAUGGGCUCAGAAUCGUCUGUCGGUGACUUAGUUGCGUGGGAAUUACCGUUGUUCGAUCGAAGGUAAAGGUUUGGUUGUUUAAUGGAUGAAUGGACCGACUUGGGUUCAGUUUUAGUUUGGUUUUAAGCGUCUAAUUUAGUGUUUUAUUGGUCAAUCUUAGGUGCUGUGAGGUUCGAGAGUGUUUCCGCAUCGAAAUUGUACCAUGUGUGUACCAAAAAUGCAAAAGAUCAAACUUUGGUAAAAGCCAAAAAAACCUUACUUUCGACGCCACACGGGCGUAUGCCUGGCCGUGUGGAAGACACGGCUGUGUGUUUGACGAGGGUAUGGCCAUGUGCAAGACACGACUGUGUGAUAGUGUGGGUGUGGCCGUGUGGGCCACACGGGCUAGGCCAAGUUGGGCGUGUGGGCCCACAUAGGCAUAUGAGACAAUAAUUUUAAAAUUUUCCUAGGGUUUCACAAGUCGUUUUGAUCGACUGUGGGCCUACCGUAGGGUCCGUAAAGGCUAACUAAACCCUAAAAUUAUAUGAUCUGAUAGUCUAAUAUUCUGCUCUUAGUAUGACACUGUUAUGCAUGUCUGAUUAGUCUGAUAUAUAUUUGAUAUUUGUAUAUGACCAUGUAAGCAUGAUAAUUCUGAUUUUAUAUAUCUGAUUAGGGUGGGAUUUGCAUAUGUGGAGGAAGUGUUCUAAAGGGUGACCAUCGCCUUUAUUCUGGCAGAUUGGCUGCAUAUUAUCUGAUAUGUGUCAUAAUGACACAAUGUGGUGUGUAGGGUUGGGUGGGUGUUUUUAACCCCACAUGGUGUGAUGGGAUGGUCGGAGCUGGUGUGUAGAGGAUGGGGAUAGGAUUCUGUAUAUCUGUUAUGCAUAUCUGUUUCUGUUAUUUGAAUCUGUAAAGGACUUAAGUCCAAAUAUGAAUCUGAAUCUGACUGUGUAUGUUAAUUAUGUAUGUAUAACAUGUCUAUUUCUAAUGGGUUACAUACGAAGUUUACGUAAACUCACUUCUGUUUGUCUUCUCUGUUCAGGUAAUCCAUAGACUUAGGCGGAUCGGUACAGCGAAAUCUUGCGGUGACCACCAGUCUAUGAACUGACUUAAAAUAAAUGUUUUAUUUAUUUAAAGAUUAUUUCUGGAAGUUUUGUAUUAAUUGGACUCUCUGGGCUGUUGUUUAAUUUUUGGGAUUUGGAUUUUUCGUUUAAUAUUUUAUUUGCGACUAUUAUCUAGAAUCAUGGUUUUUACUAAAACAAAGGUUUUCCAAACUUACGAAUGGAAUUUUAGGAAAAUAACGCUUACUAUAAUUUUCGCUGUAAAUUACAUUUUGGCAAAUAAACCAAUUAAUUAACAUUUUCGACAAUGGAUAUAAACAAAUAUAAGUUAUUAAGCUGAAAUGAUUUAACUUAACGAUUCUGUUUUCAUAACUCAUUCUUUGUGACAUUUCCGGAUUCGGCCACAACGUUUAAGCCGGGUUUGUGGUGUUAGAUUUAGUGGUAUCAGAGCCAGGUUACAAAACUCAGGCUAUGAAUUUUAGGUUCCAAAAUUGUGUUUCAAAAGAAUUGGUUUUCAAACAAUUUGGAUACUUUGAGAAAGUAUGUGGUAUAUUGAGUCUCCAGCGCCAAUCCUGUAAGUAUUUCUAAAUUUAGAUAGAAUACUCUAAAAAAACUGUAGAUAGAACUCUCUAAAACUGUACUAAGUUAGUCGGAAACUAAAACCUCUAAAAACAGUUCUGAACUUCUGAAAAUUUAUACAUAAAAUAUCUGCUAAUAAAUACUGGAACUGAUACAUAAAAUUUUAUAGUGUAGUUAAAAUUUAAAAUUUACAAUAAGCACUCGUGGAACUCGCAGACUUUAUAUUCGUGGCUGUGGUAAAGGCUGUAGGGGGCUCGAGCUGAGUCUUCCUCUCUAGGCAAUAUGCCAAACUUAAAUACAAGUGAGACAUCGGUUUUGCCUGCUACUGAGACUGGGUCUCGAAGCCAUUCUGCUGGGGAUGAAGUACUAUCCCAAGCCAUGUUGAGGAUAUUGGAGAGGGUCACUGGACCCCAUUUUGGAUCUGGGGGUCGUGGGUCAGUAACUAAAUGACUCCGGUCCAAUGGUGCAAAGUUGUUUAGGGGUGUCACUAAAGUCGUCCCUACUGUGGUAGAGUAUUGGUUGGAGGCCACCGAGAGGAUCAUGAAUGAUAUAGACUGUACUCCUGAGCAGAAACUUAUGGGUGCAGUCUCUUUACUUCUCGACGAGGCGUAUCAAUGGUGGUUAUCUGUUGAGGAGGGUACUCAGGCAGAUCGUCUGAAUUGGGACUUCUUCAAGACUAAUUUUUAGGGGAAAUAUGUGGGUGCGAGCUACGUUGAUGCUCGUAGGCGUGAGUUCAUGAAUCUUACACAGGAUGAUAGAUUAGUGGCUGAGUAUGAGGCCGAGUUUCUAAGGUUGAGCCGCUACGCUCGAGGCAUGGUGGUGUCUGAGUAUGAGAAGUGUGUUCACUUGAGGACAUUCUAAGAGAUAGUUUGAGGAUUUUGAUUACUCCGCAGAGGGAGCGCGAGUUUUCUAUUCUUGUGGAUAAAGUAAAGAUCGUCGAGGAAGUUAAGCGUGUGGAGCGCCAGAACAGGGACCAUGAAAGAGGCAAGAGUAAGAGGGAGUCGGGGCACUUUAGUUCUAUUCAGAGGCCUAAGAAAAAGGCCAGAACUGAUGGGUCAGUUAGUGUGGGGGUUCAUGUUGCUCGUACUAGGAUUCAACCAUGUGAAGAUUGAGGUAAGCGCCAUCUGAGUGAGUGUUGGAAGAAGAUAGGGGGUUGCUUGAUGUAUGGAUCUUUGGAGCACCGUAUUAGAGAGUGUCCAUAGCGGGUAGAUCAGAUGCAAGCUUUAGGAUCGGGUUCUGUACAGCCUCAAAGGGCAAUUCAGCAGUCACUUAGGGGCUAUCGACCGGCUAGGAGUGGUAAUUGUAUAGGUCGUGGAUAGAGAGCACCAGGUAGAGGUGCUAGUCAAACUAAGGUAAGGCAGCCUACGUUAGUUUAUGCUGCUUGACGUCGAGAGGAUAGAGAUGCUCCUGAUGUUAUCACCUAUAUGUUUUUUUUAUUUUUGAUGUACCUUAUACUACUCUGAUAGACAUAUGUUCUACACACUUCUAUGUAGCUAGUUCUGUUUCUGAAAACCUAGAGAUUUUAGUCCAGAGCAUUUCCAGUGAGACUAUUGUACUGAGUCUGUUAGGACAAUCUGUGCGGGUUAGUAAAAUUUAUAGGAAUAUUCCGUUAGUGGUGCAAGGGGAUGUAUUUCUGGUAAAUCUGAUGAAGCUUCCGUUUGAGGAGUUUGAUUUAAUUUUGGGUAUGAAUUGGUUGGUUGAGCAUCGAGUUAGCUUAGAUUGCACGACUGGGAGGGUUGUUCUUAGGACCGAAGAUGAUAAGGAGGUGAUUAUGAUCGGUGAGUAUCGAGAUUAUCUAUCUAAUGUGAUCUCCACUCUAGUGGCUGAGAAAAUGAUUCAAAAAAGGUGUGAGGCGUUUAUGGCCUACGUUAGUGUUUUUGUUUCUGAUGACUAUUCUGUCGCGGAUAUCAGAAUAGUGCGAGAUUUUUCGGAUGUCUUUCCUGAAGAGUUACUGGGUUUACCUCCAAAUCGUGAGUUUGAGUUCGAUAUUGAGCUUCUACUAGGUACAGUUUCGGUGUCUAUCGCUCCAUAUCGUAUGGCAUUGAAGGAGCUUACAGAGCUUAAAGCUUAACUUUAAGAGUUUCUAGAUUGUGGUUUCAUCCGUCUUAGUGUGUCAUUGUGGGGGGGACUGGUUCUGUUUGUUAAGAAAAAAGAUGAGACCAUGAUGAUGUGUAUUGAUUAUCGACAACUGAAUAAACUGACGGUGAAGAAUAAGUAUCCACUUUCGAGGAUCGACGAUUUGUUUGUUCAGUUCCGAGGGGCUUUAGUGUUUUCAAAGAUUGACCUUCGUUUUGGGUACCAUAAGCUUAGAUUUAAGGAAGCUGAAGUUCAUAAGACUGCAUUUAGGACUUGUUAUAGACAUUAUAAGUUCCUAGUUAUGCCUUUUAGUCUGACAAAUGCUCCGGCUGCAUUUAUAGAUCUAAUGAAUCUAAUAGUUUAGCCAUAUCUGGAUCAGUUCAUCGUGGUUUUCAUCAAUUAUAUUAUGGUUUACUCUAAGACCGACGAUGAGCAUGAUGAGCAUCUUAGAGUAGUGCUUCAGACACUCUGAAAGAAAUAGCACUACGCUAAGUUGAGAAAGUGUGAGUUCUGGUUGUAAGAGGUAACUUUUCUAGGGCAUAUGAUUUCUGUUGAGGGGAUCCGAGUGGAUCCGAGAAAGAUCGAGGUUGUGCUUGAUUGGAAACAGCCUAAGAACGUAUCUAAGAUCCGUAGUUUUUUGGGUCUUACAGGUUAUUAUCGACAGUUUGUUGAGGGGUUCUCUCUGAUUGCAGCUCCUUUGACUAAGCUUCUGCGCAAGGGUGUUUCUUUAUUUUAGACUGAUACACAACAAUCAACCUUCGAGAAGCUCAUGUCUGUUCUGACUCAAGCUCCUAUUCUAAUAUAGUCUGAAUCUGGUAAAAAAUUUAUGGUGUACAAUGAUGCAUCGCACGUUGGGUUGGGAUGUGUAUUGAUGCAAGAUGGUAAGGUGUGGCUUUUACGUCCCGUCAGCUUAGGAUACACGAAGAAAAUUACCUGAUGCAUAAUUUCGAGUUGGCUGUUGUGGUUUUGCGUUAAAGAUUUGGAGGCACUAUCUGUAUGGUGAGAGGUGUAUCAUCUACACUAAUCACAAGAGCUUCAAGUACCUCUUUACUCAUAAAGAGUUAAAUCUUAGACAGCGUCGAUGGAUUGAGUUGUUCAAAUAUUAUGACUGGAUGAUAGAGUAUCAUUCUGGUAAGGCCAAUAUGGUGGCCGAUACUCUUAGUCGUAGAGCGAUGACUGAUUUGAGAGCAAUGUUCACUUAUUUUAGUUUGUUUGAUGAUGAAGGUAUGUUAACCGAGUUGCAGAUUAGGUCGACUUGGAUUGAUCAAAUUCGGGAUAAGCAGUUAGAGGAUGAGUCUUUGGGUUUGCGGUUCCGUCAGGUUGAGAGUGGUAGUAUUUCAGAUUUUGGGCUGAAUAGUGAUGGGGUUCUAUUUUUCGAGGACGAAUUUGUGUACCGGACGAUUCUGAUUUGAGGCAGUCGAUUCUAAGAGAGGCACAUAGUAGCCCUUAUACUAUGUAUCUUGGUGGUAAUAAGAUGUAUUAGGAUCUCUAUGAAUUGUAUUAGUGGCCAAGUUUGAAACGUGAGGUUACAGAUUUUGUUACUCGUUGUUUGACGUGCCAGCAGGUUAAGGCUGAACACUAGUUACCUUUAGGUUUGCUUCAACCCGUUAAGAUUCCCUUAUCGAAAUGGAAAAGAGUAACGAUAAACUUUGUUAGUAGGCUGCCCUUGACACCCACUAAUAAGGAUUUCUAUUUGGGUCAUCGUGGAUUAAUUGACUAAGUCUGCUCAUUUUCUUUCAGUCCGAACAGACUAUUCUCUGUAGAAGUUAGCGAAGCUCUAUAUUUCUGAGAUUGUAAGACUUCAUGGGGUUCCUGUUUCGAUAAUUUCUAGUAGAGAUCCUCGCUUCACUUCUCGGUUCUGGAAAAAAUUACACGAGGCUCUAAGUUUGAGAUUAGACUUCAGUACUGCAUUCCAUCCUCAGACUGAUGGUCAAUCUGAGAGGGUGAUUCAGAUACUAGAUGAUAUGCUUGGGAGUUGUGUGAUUGAUUUUCGAGGUAGUUGGGGUGAUUUUCUGUCACUAGCUGAGUUUGCCUAAAAUAACAAUUUACAGUCUAGCAUCCAGAUGGCAGCUUACGAGACUUUAUAUGGUCGUAAGUGUCGUACUCCACUGUGUUGGACUGAGUUGGGUGAGUGUCGGGUUUUGGGUCCUAAGUUGGUUUUUGAGACCGAAGAUAAGGUUAGAUUGAUUAGGGAUCGUUUGAAAGCGGCUUCUGAUAGACAGAAGUCUUAUACAGGUUUAAAGAGGUGAGAUAUUGAGUACUUUGUGGGUGACUUCGUCUUUCUUAAGGUUUUCCCGUGAAAAAAGUUCUAAGAUUUGGUCGUAAGGGCAAGUUGAGCCUUAGGUUCAUUAGGUCAUAUCAGAUUCUGAAGCAUGUGAGAUCAGUUACUUAUCAGUUGGAGUUACCUCCAGAGUCAACCUGUAUCCAUGAUGUGUUUCACGUCUUGAUGCUGAGGUGGUAUUGGUCUGAUCCAUCUCACGUUGUCUCUAUUGAGGAGAUCGAGAUGAGGUCGGACUUGACUUUUGAGGAGGAGCCGGUUCAAAUUUUGGAUCGUGAUAUUAAGGUUUUUAGAAGGAAGUCCAUUGCAUUAGUAAAGGUUCUAUGUCGGAAUCAUAGCACUGAGGAAGUCACGUCGGAACCUGAGGACUCGAUGCAUCAAUAGUAUCCUCAUCUGUUCUGAUCAGGUAAAUUUCAAGGUCAAAAUUUCUUUUAGGAGGUAGAGUUGUAACGCCCUGAAUAAUUUAUUUCUAUUUCUGUAAAUACUUGAAAAAUGUGUAUCUGCUUCAAUGGUUAAGUAUUCUGGGUGUGUGUGUGAGGUCUUGGGUUCAAGUUUCACCUUUGCCAAAUUUUAAUAUUUUUUUGAUCCAAGAUUUACCCUUGUUGAAUAGGCUUAUAUAAAAUUGUAUGUUAGUCCAUAUCAGAAUGAUUCUGUUGGUUCUAGUGGUAAGGGAGUUGGUGUGUGUUGGAGGUCCUAAGUUCGAAUUCCUGUGUGAGUGAGGGUGUUUAUUUUUCUUCAGUUGACUGAUAGAGUUUCGGUAGAGCUAAAGUUCUGAAGUGGUUGAGAUUGAGGUGUUAGUGGGAAGUUGGGAAUAUCAAAUUGGUUUUAAUUUUAUUUAUUAUUUUUCUCAAAAUUUCUUCUGUUGAAUUUUUUUCUGUUGCUUCUCAUUCUCUACGUUUUCUUUUUCUUUUUCCUCUCCAUCUUUCGAACUUUGUUCCAAUUAAAGUAUGGGUUGUGGUGCAAUUGUUUCUUCUUUCUGUCUAAUUUUCAAUUGAGAUUUAAUUUGGUAAGUUUGGGUAGGGUAGUUUUGCUUUCGUUUGGUAAUCCUUUAUUAAUGGGUGUCGUUAAUGUUGUUUAAGGGAAAGAUCAAGGGGCUUAGAAUCGUCCUUCGGUGACUUAGUUGCAUGGGAAUUACCAUUGUUUGAUCGAAGGUAAAGGUUUGGUUAUUUAAUAGAUGAAUGGAUCGACUUGGGUUCAGUUUUAGUUUGGUUUUAAGCUUCUAAUUCAGUGUUUUAUUGGUCAACCUUAGGUGCUGUAUGGUUCGAGAGUGUUUCUGCAUCGAAAUCGUACCGUAUGUGUACCCAAAACGCAGAAGAUAAAACUUCGGCAAAAGCCGAAAAACCUUACUGUCGACGCCACACGGGCGUAUGCCUAGCUGUGUGGUUGGCUGUGUGCGAGACACGGUCGUGUGUUUGACGAGGGCAUGGCCAUGUGCAAGAUACGACUGUGUGAUGGUAUGGGUGUGGCCAUGUGGACCACACGGGCUAGGCAAAGUUGGGCGUGUGGGCCCACUCGGACAUAUGGGCCAAUAAUUCUAAAAUUUUCUCUAAGGUCUCACGGGUCGUUCCAAUCGACUGUGGGCCUACCGUAGGGUCGGUAAGGACUAACCGAACCCUAAAAUUGUAUAAUCUGAUAAUUUAAUAUUCUACUCUGAGUAUGACACUGUUAUGCAUGUCUAAUUAGUCUGAUAUAUAUAUUUGAUAUUUGUAUAUGACCAUGUAAGCAUGAUAAUUCUGAUUAUAUAUAUUUGAUUGGGGUGAGAUUUGUAUAUGUGGAGGAAAUCUUCUGAAGGGCGACCAUCGCCUUUAUUCUAGCAGAUUGGCUGCAUAUUAUCUGAUAUAUGUCAUAAUGACACAAUGUGGUGUGUAGGGUUGGGUGGGUGUUUUUAACCCCACAUGGUGUGAUGGGAUGGUCGGAGUUGGUGUGUAGAGGAUGGGGGUAGGAUUCUAUAUAUCUAUUCUGCAUAUAUGUUUCUGUUAUCUAAAUCUGUAAAGGACUUAAAUCCAAAUAUGAAUCUGAAUCUAACUGUGUAUGUGAAUUUUGUAUGUAUAGCAUGUCUAUUUCUGAUAGGUUACACACGGAGUUUACGUAAACUCACUUUUGUUUGUCUGUUCUGUUCAGGUAAUCCACAUACUUAGGCGGAUCGGUGCAGUUGAGGCUUGCGGUGACCACUAGUCUACGAACUGACUUAAAAUAAAUGUUUUAUUUAUUUAAAGAUUAUUUCUGCAAUUUUUGUAUUAAUUAGACUAUCCGGACUGUUGUUUAAUUUUUGGAUUUGGAUUUCUCGUUUAAUACUUUAUCUGCAACGGUUAUCUAGAAACAUGGUUUUUGCUAAACAAAGGUUUUCCAAACUUAUGACUGGGAUUUUAAGUAAAUAACACUUACUAUAAUUUUCGCGGUAAAUUACGUUUUGGCAAAUAAACCAAUUAAUUAACAUUUUCGACAAUGGAUAUAAACGAAUAUGAGUUAUUAAGCUGAAAUGAUUUAACUUAACGAAUCUGUUUUCAUAACCCAUUCUUUGUGACAUCUCCGGAUUCGGCCAUAAAGUCUAGGUCGGGUUUGAGGUGUUACAAUAAAUUACACUAAACUUAAGGGAGGCAAGUGCCUAAAGUAAAGUGUUUGGACUUUUCUAUCAACCCGAAUUAAAAUCCAAAUGCUUAAGCUUUCAAUUAAUUCAUCUUAUUCAUUAUUCUUGAGCUCACAAUUGUUUAGAGAGUAGACUCUAACUCAAAUAAUCGAAAACAAAACAAAAAUAGAGACUCCCUUGAGAAGAGCUUUGCGCAAACCUCCAACUCGUAACCAAAAUUUAAACUUAUAAAUUCAAAUUAUAAUUAUUAAAUGAUUGCAAUUAUAAUUGCUCUCAAUUUAAAAUCUCAACUCAAGAAAAAUAUUUUUUUAGUACACUAAAAUUAUUCAAAUAAAAUACCAAAAAAAAUUUGCUGCAGAGUUUCUCUUAAUAAUUUGUAUUAUAUCAAUUAGGGUAUUUAUAAAGGAAAAUAUACAAAAAUUUAAUUUUAAUUCAAAGCUCCAAAUUAAUUAAAUCGGGGGAGUUUUAUACAUGUAAGACUCAAGAUAACCAAAGUCAAUGACACACUAAUGGAGGGCACUCCCUAUGCCACGACAUCAAUGCCCCUUUGUGCCAAUUGGGUCAAUCUAAAUGGGUCCAAUUUUUUAAGCUUGAAUGAAAAAAUUAAGCUGAAAUAUUUAAUUAUUUAAUUAAAAUUUAUGGACAAAUUUAUUUAAUUAUCCGAGUAAAUUUAGAUUACGAUGAUUAUGUAAUUUAAUUUUUCACUUUGAACUCAAUUAUUUAAUUUAUUCAUUCAAUUAAAUAAAAAUUUAUAGAAAAUCAAUUAAUCUUAAGUCAUCUUUUGCCUCUUUGAAAAAGUACAUUUUCUGUGUAUAGUAAUUCAUGCAAUCUAUUUUUCAUCAUUUUUCCCAUUCAUUCACAAUUUUUAUAAUGCAAAUCAUUUAUCUUACAUUAGGUUGGAGUAUUAUUUUCUAGGCAUGUUUUAUUAUAUGAGUUAGCAAUAAACUAACUCAGUUGGUAAUAUUUAGUCACUUCCAUGUCUUAUAUUUUUAGUAAAGAAACUGAAAAAUUUUCGCUUAUUUUGAAUAGGCAUUAUUUUUUACAUGAGUUUUUGUUGGGGAUCAGCUUGUUUAGGCAACGAAUAAGAACAAUAGAGAAGAAUGAAUACAAAUACUUUACAUAGAAAACUCCUCCGAAGAGGAUAAAAAAUAUGGGCAAAGGAGGCUUCGACUUUUCACCAAAUGAGUAAACAAACGAGAGUAAUAAACCUAAAUGUACUAAACAUAUAAACCCAAAACCCAAAUACAAAUUCGUAACUCAAAAACAAAAUUAUCUCCUUAAUUACUACGAAAACUCUCACCAAAACUCAUCUGUGAUUACAUCUUGUAGCCCUCAAAAGAAAAACCCUGUAAUAUGACAUCUUUAAUUGCCUUCUUAAUUGGCCUUUUAAAACAUGAAUACAAUGGCCCCUUUAAAAUCAUACAAUGGCCUUCUUAAUUGUAUUUGAUAGCUUUGAACAAAUGCUUUGCCAAUUAGAUAAUUAGUCAAUCUAUUGACUUCUAAUAUUUGUGACUACUGCAGGAUUAUUUGUGUAGUGUGGGCAUGUGAUCUAGCCUAGAUAUACAUUGAUUGUGUGUCUUUCGUUCUUAAUGCUAUUGAUAGAUUAAAUUCUUAAGUGAUUGUUAUAGGGUUGUUUAUCAAUAAGGGAAGUAAUUAAUGACAAUUGUCUUAAUUAUCAAUAAGAUAAGAAGAGAUUAGGUUGCUAGACAAUCAUCGGCAACUAUAACCAAUUUAUUAAAGAACAUUGAAAAUCAUCUUUGCAUCAAUGAUCGAACUCUUAAAUCAAAUGAAUAAUUUACUUUAACUAGAGUUUCAUCUCAUUGAUUUUUCCCAAAAUUUUAUUUGUUUUAGUUGAAGGAAUAAAAUUUCUACUAAUCCCUGUGAAUCCGACCCUACUUAUCGCUUCUACUAAAUUUUUUCAAGUAUAUUUUAAUUUUGGCAACUUUGACAACCGUACACUCCGUAUAUUUUAAUUUUGGAAACUUUGACAACAGUACACUCCGCAAUGAAAAUGAUCAUUACUCAUACUAGUAAUGAUAAAAUAAUUUGACCCAAACAAAUGACUCAUACAAUGUCAAUGAGAAUAUAUGAUUUACUAUUUUUAUGGAGCUAUUAUUCAACAAUUGUGAGUGAAGCAUUAUCAUGUAUAAGUCAUAUACCCAACAUAAUAACAUUUAACCCACUACCUUAAGAUCAUAGGAUAAAUUCAACUUGGUUAAUAUCUAAUGUAUUGUCAAUUCAAACAAUCGCAUAUAUAUCUUUAUUUUUGGAGGUUGUUUCGAUAGCUAGGACAAGCUAUCUCUCUAAUUGAACUUAUAGACAACAUAAUAUUGCUUAUAUUAGUCGUUUGUUUAAUUUGACCCCAUGGUAUAUGAAUAAUUUAGAUUAACUACUAACAUAAAUUGUUUUAUUUUGUUACAAUUUAAUCAUGUAAUGCAACUUAAUUUUAAUUAAAUCUUAAGUAAUCAAUGAGUCAAUAUUUACUUUUACAAUUUGCUUUACUUACAAAAAAAAAAAAACCCAUUUAAGCCAUUAUACAAAUAAUAUUAAAUGAAUAUGUGGUCAUUUUUAUAUAUUCAAUUACUUUAAAAUUUUACAACGAAACGAAAUCAUUUCGAUGAAGGCACCAAUCCCCUUUCCUCAUUUUCAAAGAGUGUGUUCGAUGUUCACCUUGAUAAUACCAAUUAACGUGUUGGAUGUUAGAACGAGGUAAGUCUAUGAACUCGAGUUUUAGCGGUUUGAUUUUUUAUUGUUUGUUGUUAAUAUAAGAGGACGUGUGUUCAAGUGUAUUAAAGCGUAUUAUCCUUAUAUUUAUGAAUUGAAAGAGGUUACGAGUAAUUCUAAAAAUUGUAUAAAAAAAUUACAAAAAGAUUUUUAUUUUAAUAUUACAAUUGUUCCCAACCAAAGAAAAUAAUUGCAGAUUAAUGUCAGUUAUUAUAGAUUAUAUCAACAAGUAUUAGAUGCAAUGUUAAAGUAUAUUGUAUUCUUUAAGAGAGAUACGAGUUUGAACUUUGAAGAUGAUAUUCUUAAAAAGAACAACUAUGAAUCUCGAACAUAAAUAUAAAAAUAGACAUGAAAAUACAAAAAUAAAAAUUAAAUUAUCUUUUACAUAAAAUAAAUAUUUGAUUUAUUUUUGGAUUUGUAUUAGUUAUAUCCCACUUUCGAUUUAUCACUCUAUUAAAAUGAUGAGUCAUAUAGUUUAAAUUAUAUUUUAAUCACCAAAUUUAAAAAAUUUAUAAUACGAUCACUACCAUUUUUUUUCAUAAAAUUUUUUUAAGUUAUUUUGGAUUUUGGGUUGUUGACACCAUUUUUUGAUUGAAAACGGGGUCGACUUGGGUUUUGAAAAAUGAAACAAAAACGGGAGUCGCCACCAAUCCUUUUUUUGAUAAGGUGUGAUCGGAUCACCUUGAAAAGUGGUUGUUUUUAAUAAACGAUUUAAUUUUACUAAAACAACGAUUUUGGUCCACGAAAUUCAGAGAAAUGAGUUCGGGAGUCGGUUACGCACGAGGAAGGAUUAGCACCCUCGAUACGCCCAAAAUUGGUACCUAGUUGAUUACUUAAUGUCUUAGUGUCGAAAAAUUGAAAACUUUAAUGAAUUUAAAAAUACGAUCCUAAAAACAACUCGGAUGAUAUGGAUUGAAAUUCAAGAGGAUAUUUUUCUAUUUGGUUAAAUGAGAAAAAUCGACACCCAGCACCUUAGGGCACGUUUUCUCGAAUUUCCCAAAUGCAAAACAUUGCCUUAUUUCGAAUUUUUUUAAAAGGAUAUUUAGCCAUUUGGUUGAACGAGAAAAAUCGACACCCAACACCUUAGGGCAUGUUUCCUCGAAUUUUCAAACGCAAAACAUUGCCUUAUUUUAAAAUUUUGAAAGGAUAUUUAGCUAUUUUGUUGAACGAGAAAAAUCGACACCCAGCACCUUAGGGCACGUUUUCUCGAAUUUCCAAACGCUAAAUAUUGCCUCAAUUAGAAAUAUUUUCUCUUUUUUUUUUUUGAAAUAUGAUAUUUAUAUGCAUGAUGGAAUAAUAAACAUGAUAAUGGGAAUAAUAAAAAAGGGAACAAAAAUGAAUGAUAAAAUAAAUCAAUCAUGCAUAUACCAUAGCAAAUAAAUAAAUAAAUUAAAGCACAAUAAUGGGCAUAUAAAUAAAUACAUAAAUGAACACAAAAAUAAAGUAAGAUAUAUGAAAAUUAUAAAAUAUGAAAAUAUGUAUGUACAUACAAGGGAAAUAUAUAUGUAUAUAUAUAUAAAAUUAUGAAAAUAUGAAAAACAUAUAUAUAUAUAUUAAAUUUAUAAAGUUUAUGUAAGCGUGUAUAUACAUGUGUAUGUAUAUAAAGUUUAUAAAACAUGUAAGUAUGUGAAUAUAUUCGUAAAAUGUAUAUAAAUACAUAUAUAUAGAUAUGUAUGUAAAUUAAAAAUAUAUAGAAUAUAUAAGUAUGUACGUAUACAUAUAUAUAAACAAGUUAUAAAAAAAAUAUGUACAUGUAUAGGUGUAUAUGUAUGUAUAUAUAGAAUAAAAAUGAAGCUAAAAAUAAUAUAUUACUAAUUAAUAUAGUAGUAACAAAUAAAUAAAAGGAAAAUAAAAUUAAUAAUAGUUAAUAAUAGUAAUAAUAAUGAUAAUAACACUAAUAAUAAUAAUAAUAAUAAUAAACUAAAUAAUGAAAUUGCUAAAUCAUGGACUAAAUCGAAGUAAAAACAAAAAUACUGGGCGAAUUUUAACAUGGAAAAUAAAAAGGGGACUGAUUUAUAACGCGUGCGAAGCCCAGGGGAUCGAUUUGGAAAAUAUCCCAGGCCCUACACGCAGCGUUUUGACACGGGCUGAAAUGAAACAGAAAUAAAAUUAUGUAGCUGAAUUAAAGAAGCAAAAAAGGGACAUAUUGCAUUAAAGCGCAAAAGCGGAAGGACCUUACGCGAUAAUAUCCCAUUAAUAUGGAAAUACGCGGAUCCUGGGUUGCGGGUCGGGUCGGCGCGCGGGUAGGAGGCCAUAAGGCAAAACGGCGCCGUUUCAAAAAAUGGUUAUUUAAAUAAAAAAAGUUCUUUAUUUUUUAUUUUUAUUUUUUUGUUUUAACUCAAAAGAGAAAAAUGAAAUCCCCCUUUUCUCUGUCUCCUUCGGGCGUUCCCCAGAAUCCGGCGAGAAACCGCCGCCAGUUCCACCGCGGGCGGUGGCCGGGGUACCCAAAAGUUGGGUUUUUAGAACCCCGAUCUCGAUCCCCUCUAAAAUAUACCCUUUUAGUCCCGAAAAGUCGAAAAAGGAGGGGUUUUUCGUACCCCCUUUUAGUCCGAUUCCAACGCCGAAGGUGGUCUCCGGCGACGGGCUUUCGAGACCGGUAGGUAUCCCCUUCUUUUCUUUUUCGUUUUGUUUUUAGUUUUUAAAAGUAUUAAAAAAAAGGGCAAACAACAAAAAAUAGAAGAAUAUAAAAAAAUUAAAAACUGAGAAAGAAGAAGAACAUUGGAGUCAACCUUUUCAAUUUUUCUUUUUUGAUCUGCUUUUCAUUCGGGUUCCUUUUUUUUAAUACAGAUUUUGGUGCUUUUAUAGCCAAAAGAUAAUCCUAAAAAUCUAUUCUAUUUCCUAUUUUAUUUUUAUCAUUUCUGUCCAAUAUCGCUGCUGUUGCUGUUGUUGUUCUCCUUUUUUGCUUUGUUUGCAGGUACUGGUGAAGUCAACGGAGGCGAAGGUUUCGGCUUUUUGCCAUUUUGGUGCAAGGUGGCCAGGUAGGCCUUGGGACGAGGCGUGGGCGUUGCGCCCGAGGAGGAGCGGCGUGGAGGCUGGGACUAGGGUUUGAUUUUUGCUGAAAUUGUUUUAAGUUUGGGCCAUGGUUGGAUUUGUAAUUGGGCUUAGGGAUUUUGUUUUAAAUUUGUUUAUGUUUUGUGUUCUGUGUUUGGUAUCUAAGGCCCGGGUAAAAUUGGGCCCGUACAUGGGUUUAUAUUAUUUUUCAAAGUUAAAUUAUAUGGAUUUAAAACUUAAUGAAAAUCAUGGGUAAACUAUAGAUUUAGUCAAUUAUAUAUAGUUUAAAUUACGUUUGAAUUACUAAGUUGUGAAUCAUUGUUAACGAACUACAAGUUGAUGUAGUAUAUUAUACCAUUACUUUAAACAAGAAAUGUUAGGUCAAAUUACACGGUUAAUAUUUAUACCUUUUUUAUUUUCAUUCUGGUAAAAAGAAAUUAAAUUACUCAAAAAGAUAAAUAUAAUAUUAGUUGUGAAAUUUAAUUUAAAAUUUUCAAAUGAUGAUAUAACAUGAUAUGUUAACUUUCUAUUACUCUAUUAAUUAGAGAUGGCAGUAGGUCGGAUAUUUGUAAAUUCUAGAUUAUCCAAAUCCACAUAUUUGUCUUAAAAUCCAAAUUCAAAAAAAAUCCAACUUUUAUUAUCCAAAUCUGAACCCAAUUAAAUAGCAAUAUUGGUCAGUAAAAUUUCUGAAUUUAACAUUUUCAACCUUACGUGGAUUUCCAAAUCCUCAAAAAAAUUCAAACCCAAAAAAAUUAAAAUUUAAAAAUUAAUAUAAAAUCAAAUAAAAAACUAAUUUAUUUUACAUUUUUUCAUUUUAAAAUUAAUAUCCGAAUCCGAUAGUCGAAGGUUGACGAUGCCUGACCGGUGCUAGACAAUAGUUGGGAAAGCUUGAGAGUCGAGGGUUGGGGGAUAGCCUGACAUGGCUAUGGUAGUUGUAGCCAUUGUUGGUGGCAUUUCUACUUUACUCCUAGUUCUGGGUCUGGUUUGGUUAUUCUGUAGGAGAGAAAAGUACAGUAGGAUGAGGGAAGAUAAAGCCAUGUCUGUCAACAGAAAAAUGGAAAUGGUGACAGCAGCUAGGAAGUUUUCCUACAGGGAACUCAGGUUUGCAACUAGUAAUUUUGCCGAUGAAGGGCUCCUUGGAGAGGGAGGUCUUGGGAAGGUUUAUUUAGGCUUCUUGAGUAACAUCAACUGUAGUAUUGCUGUCAAAAGGAAAACUCCAAAUUCUCACCAAGUGAUUAAAUGCUAAAGUUACAUAUUUUAUGUAAUUAAAUUGGUUAAUUUAUGAGAAUGCACCACUAAUUUUGCCAUAUUUAUUGAAUUUUGUGCAGGAAUGCAAUUUGGGGCUAAAUAGAAGAAAAAGGAAACAAUUGGGCCAAAUUAAAGAAAGAAGCAAAGAAGGAGGGCCAAAGUAGAAUUUUUCCAAUAUUAAUUAGCUGAAAAUUUUGUUGACUUAGUGGGGGAGAUUAUUUUGGGAUUUAUUUUAUUAUGGGAUAUUUUUCCUUAAUUUCCUAUGACUAGUUGGCUCCUAAUUUAGUAAAUCCUCUAGUAUAAAUAGAGCAUGUAUUGUUCAUUUAUGAAUGAAUCAAAAAUAUUAAGUUCUUGUCUUUCAAUACAUUCUGUCUUUUUUCACGUAGUAUUGUUGUUUCUUUAGUUUCCUUUCCUUCAAUUUUUAAUUUCCAGUAGCUAAUCACCAAAUCAAGCCAUUUGCAAUUCCUUUUUCAAUUUUUUUUUCCAAAUAGUCAACCACCCCAGUUUAAUAUAUUCCAACCCCCAUACUCAAUCACAUCACCCAUCUUUUCACCAUUCCUACCUUAUUUAAUUUAUCAAAUACCAACAUGCCCCAAACCUUAGCCAACUAAACCCAUUUUCAGCUUUUGGCCGAAAUUAGCCUCGUCAAAACCCGUGAGUUACGAACCCGAGCCAUUUAACUCCUAAAAUUCCAGUACUUAUUACUUCUCCGGAUUAAGAGUAUGAUUUUGUCAACUCAUAAAGUCAGAUCAACACUAAGUCAAAAAAGACGUCGUUUGGUUUAGUGUGGUUAAACGUACAUUUGGAAUUCCGAAAGGAACGUUUCUAAUCGGUUUUCUGUGAACACAUUGGUGUGCCAAGUGGAGAUUGCUGUUUGGUUCCGUCAAGGGAAGUAGUAACCGGAUUUAAAUGUCCCACGCGGUUGAGGGCAUUGGUUCGAGCUAGGCUCUUCUAGAACGCAAAGCUGCUGGAGUUCUAAAUCACGAACAUUUCGUGGUUGUUCGAUCGGUAAGAAUUAGUUAUUGGACGUUCCAUAACUAAUUUACACAAGGAAGAGUUGGUGUUCGAGGCAUCCUUGGUAGCUAUAACUAGCUUAUUGGAAAAGAGGAGUUCAUCCAAUUUCGAGAAUCGGUUCAAAGACGAGGAAAAUUCAUGUCUAAAGCUGAGCUCAUUCUAAUUAAUUUCCUUAAUAUUUAUUUCACGGUUUUUAUUAUUCUGUUUUCAACUUUUACUUUUGACGUUAUUUUUCUGUUAAUUUUAGGUUUUCAAAUUUUUAUCCCCCCAAAUGUCUUGGGCACGACAGCUACCCCGACAUAAAUCUGGUCAAGCGAGCAACAGUUUACAGUAAACCAGUCUCUGAGGGAUCGACCCUAUUCCCUGUACUGCAUAAUUUGCAAACUAAGGUGUAGGUUUAUAUUGGCGGAUUCGACACCCAUCACCAAGGAGUGAAAGAGUAGAAUCAGAAGUUACAACUAGUGGCAGAUUGAGGCAUAGGAAUUUGGUCCAACUCAUCGGUUGGUGCCAUGAGAAUAAGGAGUUCCUUCCAAAUAAGAGUCUCGAUUACCAUCUACAUAGAGAGCCAUGCUUGUUGACACGGGAUACAUGGUAUAAAAUCGCCAGCCAUGCUUGUUGACACGGGAUACAAGGUAUAAAAUCGCCAUGGGAGUGGCCUCAGCGUUGUUCUAUUUGCAAGAAGAAUGUGACCAAUGCGUGCUGCAUCGAGACAUCAAGUCAAGCAAUGUUCUGUUGGAUUUGAGUUUCAAUGCCAAGCUUAGUGACCUUGGGUUGGCUAGGGUUGUUGACCAUGGACAAGGGUCUCAAACAACUAAGGUUAUGCUCGGAACCGGCGGUUAUAUAGCACCCGAGUGUCUUGACACAUACAAAGCCAUUAAAGAAUCCAACGUAUAUAACUUUGGUAUUGUUGCCUUAGAAAUAGCCUCCGAAAAGAAGGCCAUUGCUUUAAUCGAAAGGAACGGCCAGAGAUUCAAAACAAAACUGGUGGAAUGGGUUUGGGAACUAUAUGGGAAAGAGAGUCUUUUUGAUGCGGCUGACCCAAGAUUGUCUGGCAAUUACGACAUGGAACAAAUGGAACGGCUGCUGUUAGUUGGGCUGGCUUGUGCUCACCCAAACUAUUUUGACCGCCCAUCGAUAACGCAGGCAGUCGACAUCCUUUCUUUCAAAGCAGCACUGUCCAUGGAAGCCAAGCAGUGAGUUCUUGGUAGUUAACUUCUUUGUCAAUUUAUUGUUUUCCAGUUUUGAUGCUUUGUUACAUUACAUCCAUGGUUUCUACACUUUGUGUAUUGUUGUUUUCAUUGGCUAUGAAGAUCACUAUUUGUCUUGUACUUCUUAGAUUAAAAUAGUCACUUUUGUUUGUCUCAGAUUAUAUUUUAGUCACUUAUGUUUAAAAUAUUACGUUUUAGUCAUUUAUGUUAACAUGUUGUAACAUUUUAGUCACUGAGCGUUAAUUAUUAUUAAUGGGUAACGGUAAGCUGAUGUGGCAUAUUCAAUCAUCAUUUCAAAUGAAAAUCUUAGGUUAAAUUAUACAAUUGGUGCCUAUAUUUUUUUCGUUUUGAGUACUUUUUUUCUUUUACCGUUACACCGUUAACGGCAAUUAAUAGCUCAGUGACUAAAAUGUUACAACACGUUAACGUAAGUGGCUAAAACAUAACAUUUCAAACAUAAGAGACUAAAAUAUAACUUGAAGAAAAUAAAAGUGACCAUUUUGAUAAUUUGCCCAUUGUUAUGAUUUUCAAAGUGUAAUAAUUGCUUAAUUAUAUCAUCAUAGCCAUAGCUGUAAACUAUCUUCCCUCUUAAUUUAAUUAUUUUUAUUAUUUUUAAAUGUAAUUAUUUAUGGGAGAGUCUCUACUAGACCUGUCCAUUGGCUGGGCCGGGUUCGGGCUGGGCCCGGAAAAAAUUUUCGACCCGCCUCCUAGGCCCGAACCAGGCCCGGCCCAAAAUAUGGGCCUGAAAUUUUGUCCAAGCUCGACUCGGGAAAAAUAUCAUAAGCCCGAGCCCGGCCCGGCCCAUUUUUUAGUAAACAUUAAAAAAUUAUUUUAAAAAUAAAAAAAAUAAAAAUAUUUUAAAAGUAUUUUAAAAUUAAAAAAUAAAAAUAAAAAAUAUAUAUUUAUUAUAUUCGGGCCGGGCCAAAAAAGUGGUGCCCGAGGCCCGGCCCGUUUUUUAAACGGGCCUCGUUUUUUUGCCCAAGCCCAUAUUUCGGGCCUAUAUUUUUACCUGAACCCUCCCAUAUUUCGGGCGGGCUGUUGGGCCGGGCCGCCCAGCCCAUAGACAGGUCUAGUCUCUACUCAGUUCUUCUAAUUUCAAGUUAUUAAAGAAUGGACCAACCAAGUCCCUAUACUUUUAAAAUAAUUAAGGGUGUUAACAAAAAUCAUUCAAAAUAGUGAUAACAUUGAUGAAGAUGACUAAAAUAAAUAUGAUAAUUAAUAAUAAAAUUGUACAGGUAGUGAAUAUUGAUUUGUUAUAAAAUCUGACAUGUGGCUUUUAAAAGAGAUAUUUUGAUUUAAUUAGUUAAUUAACUAAAAAAAAGGGAAAAUUUUAGAGAAAAAAGUCAACUAAAAUGUUUCUUUAUUUAAUUCAAAUGGAAUCAAUUUGUCGGCAUGAUGUUUAGGAUGUCCGCCACUUCAAGUGUGGUCUAAGUUUAAAUUGUGCUAGUCGCGCUGCUGUUUAGGGUUUUGUCCUCUUCUUAUAAUUUACCCAAAAGAAAAAACUUUUACUCAAUAAUUAUAUAUUUUUCACUUUAUUUUGUUUAAUUUUAUUAAAUAGAGCCAAUCAUAUUUUAUUUAUUUUCUAAAGUAAUUAGUAAAUUAAAGUAAAAAAAACACACAAUUUUAGUUUUUU